rnacentral:lncRNA from 1 species
CAUGAUGCCAAGCAACCUAAAAGGACCAUGCAAAUCGGGUCAAGUACAUUCAAGAAUAGUUAUGAACUUAGACACCUAAUCCAACAAUACAUUGUGUAAAUUAAUAUUAAUUCAAGAAAAUAACAAAUGGAUAACCAACAUACCUCUUUAGGACAAACAUAAAAUAGUUGUCCAAUGUUAUUUCUAGUCAUUAAUGUAUUUAUAAUACCUUGAGAGCCACAAUCGAAGUAUGCCAUAUUUUGGAUUAUGAGCAAUGAAUGUUUAGUAGUAAAUUUAACAAGGUAAAGAGUUUGGACACUUGAAUUCCUUUAUAUAAUGGUAUGUACUAUGAUCAUAGAUUCCUGACACUAUUCCAAAACCACAUUCCAAAGCCAUAUUCCAGAAUUGCUAUUUUAGACCCUCAUUCUGGACGUUGCUUUUGAACCUUAAAAUGCACCUAGGAUGCCUCCUCAUAGGCUUUGAACCUUUGUUCAUUGCAUGCACUAUGUGUUUGGUAUUCAGAACAGUAAUUGUCAUAGAUUCCUGACAAUAUGCGUAGUCAUUCCAAACAGUAAAUGUCAAAGAUUUGUAACAUCCGAUGGUUCUAAGGUAUUAUUUAUUUAAUUGUAUAAAUCAUGUAAGUUGUGUUGGUAUUAGUGGAUUGGGCCUUUAUGAGUGUGCUUAGCCGAGGUUGUACACUAGGCGUAAGCUUGGUGUACGCGGGGUGUAGAUGGAUCAUAUGGAACGCGAAGACAUGUGUCACACCCCAAAACCAAGAAUGGCCGAAUACGUUCUGGGGUGGAGGACGUCAUUGUUAUCACGUUUUGAAAAUGGUGCGAUCCUUAGAAAAUCCUAUAUUUUCCAGCAAAAGUAGUCUUCUACCAAGACUCGGUUAUUUACCGGUUUGAUUCUUUGAAAAUGUAAUGGUUUCUUCCAGUGAAACUGUCAAUGUAAAAAUAUAGUUUUAAAUUUCAUUCAUGUAAAAUAAUUAAGAAAAAUAGAGUUUUACCCCAGCAGUAUCACUGCCGACUGAAUAUAGUAGAGGUGCAAGCUCUAGGUGUUUUAAAUGUGUAUACACCUCGGGGAGUCUGUUUUACUUUUAAUUCUUAUUGUGUUAGUUAAGGUUUGAAUGUGAACUUGUAUGUAACCAUGCUGAGUGACAGUAGUAUAAUACUUGACCCUCCAGGUCACAAGUAGUGUAGUGAUAUUUUGUUAUCCCUGGGCCUGGUCGGCUCGGACUGUAGCUAGCAGUCGGGAUGUGGGAGUGUCCAUCCCGUAUAGAUCUAUACACAUAGUGUUCGCUCUCCCUCCAGGAGGCUCAGGUUACAUGACAAUCGCAAAGCGAAGUGUCAUAUCGAGAAGUAGUGCCUCACAUUCUAUUUUAGUAUAUAUUUUCUCAUAUAGUAUAUACUAUUCUCAUCAUGUAGUGUAUAGUGUUCUCUUCGUAUAGUUUAUGGUGUUCUCUUCGUAUAUUGUAUAGUAUUCUCUUCGUAUAGCGUACGGUACGUAUAGACUCGUAACUGUACUGACCAUAGUGAGUAUCAUAGUAAUAAUUAGUAACGAGUGGCAAUCCUUAACUCUACCUAUUAUAGUUAAAUAGAAAUGUUGGUUGAAUGCCUUUGAUACACAAAGGUAUUGAAAUGAAGUGAAGAAUUUUAUAUCCAACACAAAUAUAUAUGAUAUAUAACUAAGAAUUCAAUGAUAGUCAGACAGAUAACAGAAUACCCUAAGUCGACAAUCAAACAAAAAUAGGAAAUAAGGUGACCUAUCUGUUCUAAGUCCUUCAAUCCUUACUUAUAUAAAUAUAUUAGUGUAGAUAUGAUUUGGAAAUAAAAUGAGUUUAAAAUAAUUGAAAAUAAAUAGUUUUAGAACCAUUAAACAUGAAAAUGAGUUUGGUAAACAUUUAAAACAAUUUUGUUGGGAAGGUAAUUUGAAAGUAUAGAAAAUCCUUUUGGUAACAAGUUAUAAAUCAGAUAUGAUUACUACAAUAACUUGUUUGAUUCAACUUGUAUUCCUCCCCCCCCCCCAUAAAAUCAUAUAAAAACAUUUAAAGGUUGAUUAAGGGGUAUGAACUCCCAGUUUAACGUAGGGUUCGAGUGUGCGAUUGAUAUGAGUGCUGAAUGUCACUGGAUGCUCUAAACACAAGUGGUCCCUAUUAAUCAUAUGGUGACACGUAUAUGAGUUAGAGCUAGGGUGUUUCAUGACUAAACAUGAUGGGCAAUCACCCUAAAGACUUGGAUUCAUUAGGAUUAAGUGUCCCAUGUUUCGUACUUAGUGAUUCUUACAAGUUUAAGGCUAAAUAUGGGUACCAGAGUGGGUGUAUGGCCAUAAAAGUGAGUGUGCAGCUAGGGAAUGUGGCCAUACUUGUGUGUGAGACUGCACACUAGAGUGUGCGGCCAUACAGAGGGUGUGUGCGGCUGUAAACAGGAGUGUGCGGCCGUACACUCCUUGUUUGAGUCCUAUGUGUCGAUUUUGAGGUGUUUCAGGUGUCAAACUAAGUCUUAGAUCGAUUAUAGAGGCCAUAUCCUCACUUUAGAGGAUGUUUUGAGUGUGUGCGGCCACCUGAUGAAGGUGUGCGGCCGCACUCCUUCAAGGGGUGAAGAACACGAAGAACACUAUGAGUUUUAAGCUUAGAUUCAAGUGUUUUACCUCUAUAACAAGUUGAAGAUGAUGUUCUUCACGUUUUGGAGGCCUUCUAAGUGAUCUUGGAUGAUGUUUCUACAGAGAGAAAGUAGAGAGAGAGAGAGAGAGAGAAUGUGCAGCAAAAAGUGAAUGGAAAGGGGGGUCCUCUACCAUAUAUAGGGUCAGGUGUGAGGCUGGAAGGGGUUUGCGGUUGGCUGGCUGUGCGCGGCCGCACACACCUCUCUUGGUGUGUUUGGCUUGAUUUUUGCAAUGCAACACCCUUCCUAAUCCUUCUUAAGGUCCAUAUCUAUGAUAUACUAAGCCAAAAGCACUCGUGCGGACCCAGCAUUCUGCUAAGAGAUGAUAAAUUCAAGUGAAUUAUAGAUAUAUGGAUCGAUUGUACAGUGUGAAAGUGUCGGGUUGUCACAUACUCCCCCCGUUAAUGGGAAUUUCGUCACAAAAUUAGAGUUCAAGCAGCUAAGUUAGUACAAGCAACUAAGUAAAAAGAUGGGGAUAUUUAAGUUUCAUUUGAUCCCCGUGCUCCCAAGCAAACUCCAGUCCUCGUUUGGUGUUCCAACGAACCUUCACUAUAGGGAUGCGGCUUUGUGUCGUUCGUUUAACCUCUCGAUCCAUAAUCUCCACCGGUUCUUCCAUGACGUUGAGGCUCUCGUUGAUCUCGAUCUCGUCGAGUGGGAUUACAAGAGUCUCGUCGGAUGGACACUUUUCAAGUUUGAGACAUGGAAUGUAGGAUGUAUGUUACUAAGCUCGCGAGGUAGAUUGAGUUUGUAAGCUACGGGGCCAAUUCUAGCGAGGAUCUCGAAAGGCCCUAUGUAUCUUGGAUUUAGCUUUCGACACUUUCUAAAGCGUAUCAUGCCUUUCCAGCGUGAGACUUUCAGAAAGACUCGGUCUCCCACCUGAAACUCCAAGGGUUUUCUUUGUUUGUCUGCAUACUUUCCUGUCGGUCUCUAGCGGCCUUCAAUCUUUCACGAAUCUGAACAAUUUUCUCGGUCGUUUCUCGAAUGAUCUCCGUACCUGUGAGAGUGAUGUUAGGCAUUCGUCCUUUAGCUAACUGAGUGUCACCCACCUCAGCCCAGCACAGAGGGGAUCUGCACUUUUGUCCGUAGAGGGCUUCGAAUGGAGCUGCCUUGAUGCUCAUGUGGUAACAAUUCUUGUAGGAAAACUCAACAAGGGGUAAGUGGGUAUCCCAUGCCUUACCAAAGUCCAUCACACAGUCUCGCAACAUAUCUUCCAUAGUUUGGAUAGUCCUCUCACUUUGUCUGUCGGUCUGUGGAUGGUAGGUUGUACUCAUGUCCAACCUCGUUCCUAAGGUGCUUUGAAGUGAUUGCCAGAAUCUCGAAGUGAACCUACUAUCCCUAUCGGAGAUAACAGAUAUAGGAACACCAUGCAGUCAAACAAUAUCUUGGAUGUAGAUUUGUGUGAGUCUAUCCAUCUUGAAGGUUUCUUUGAUUGGCAGGAAGUGGGCGGAUUUUGUCAAUCGAUCGACAAUUAACCAAAUGGUAUCGUACCCACUCGGGGAUUUGGGUAAUUCGUUAAUGAAAUCCAUAUAAAUCAUCUCCCAGUUCCACUCAGGUAUCUCAGGCUGCUGGAGCAAACCUGAGGUUUUCUAAUAUUCGACCUUCUCCUUGGCAUAAGUCAGACACUUGCCCACGAAGGUAGCGAUCUCGGCUUUCAUGUUUGGCCACCAAUAUAACUUCUUGAGAUCAAGUUACAUCUUAUCCGAACUUGGGUGAACGGAAUAUCGAGUGUUGUGGGCUUCCUUCAUGACCAAGUCUCUGAAACCACCGUGUCGCAGUGUCGAUAUUCGGUCCAUGAGAUAUAAGGCUCCGUCACCCUCAACUUCCAGGUUCUUAUCCAUUCCUCGCAGGAAUUCUCCUGCUACGUUUUUAGGUUUCAAGGCUUCGAGCUGAGCCUCUAUAAUCUGUGUGGAUAGAUGGGAAUGGAUAGUCAUUUUCAAUGAUUUAACUCUACGACCAGAAUAUUCUUUCCGACUUAGGGCGUCUGCCACUACAUUGGCUUUACCCGGAUGAUAACGAAUUUCAUAUCCGUAGUCAUUGAGUAGUUCGACCCAUCGUCGUUGUCUCAUAUUGAGCUCCUUCUGGUUGAGUAUGUGUUGGAGGCUUUUGUGGUCAGUGUAUAUCGUGCUCUUCGUACCAUGCAGGUAGUGUCUCCAGAUCUUUAGAUGAAACACCACCGCUCCUAAUUCGAGGUCGUGUGUGGUGUAGUGAACUUCAUGUGUCUUCAGUUGUCUUGAGGCAUAGGCGAUGACCAUACCUCAUUGCAUCAGGACACAACCGAGCCCCUUAUUGGACGCAUCGCAAUAUACCACAAAAGCUUCUGUCCCUUUGGGGAGGGAUAGUAUCGGUGCGGUGCAUAAGGGUUGUUUCAGGGUUUGAAAUGCCUUCUCUUUUUUCUCUCCCCAGUCAAAAGCCACGCCCUUCUGGGUUAAUCUUGUAAGGGGUUUCGCGAUUCGAGAGAAGUUCUGUGUGAACCUGCGGUAAUAGCCAGCGAGACCUAGAAAUUGACGAAUUUUUGUAGGCAUCCGCGGUGCUGACCAGUUCUCAAUAGCUUUAAUCUUGGAUGGGUCCACGUGGAUCCCUUCUUCGCUAACCACGUGUCCUAAGAAUUCAACUCUUCGGAUCCAAAAUUCGCAGUUAGAGAACUUCGCGUAUAACUUCUCGGAUCGUAAGGUUUCCUGGACUUGUCGUAAAUGAUCGCUAUGCUCCUCCUUACUUAGAGAGUAGAUAAGUAUGUCAUCAAUGAAGACGAUGACGAACUGAUCCAAGUAAGGAUGGCACACUUUGUUCAUUAAGUCCAUGAAGACUGCGGGUGCAUUGGUCAGUCCGAACGGCAUCACAUUGAAUUCGUAAUGUCCGUGACGAGUUCGGAAAGCUGUUUUUGAAACAUCCUCCUCGAGCACUCGUAACUGAUGAUACUCGGACCUUAGAUCUAUAUUAGAAAAGUAACUCGACCCUUGCAAUUGGUCGAAUAGGUCGUCUAUACGAGGGAGAGGGUAGCGAUUUUUGACCGUCAUCUUGUUGAGUUCCCUAUAAUCGAUGCACAUACAGAACGAUCUGUCUUUCUUCUUUACGAACAAGACCGGUGCUCCCUAGGGCGAGAAGCUUGGUCUUAUAAAGCCCUUGUUGAGCGGUUCAUUAAGUUGAGCGGAUAGUUCUUGCAUCUCAGUAGGCGUUAAACGAUAGGGCGAUUUGGGUACGGGGGUAGCUCCUAGAAUUAAGUCGAUCCUCAAUUCCAUCUGACGUUGGGGAGGUAAACCUGGCAGCUCUUCUAGAAAGACGUCGGGGAAAUCGCAUACUAUGGGGAAGACUUUUAAAUCUUCCGUUUUCUGGCUUGAGUCCACAACGUGUGCAAGGAAUGCACGAUAUUCUUUACGCAAGUACUUCUGGGCUUGAAUACUUGAGAUGAGGCGAAGACUCGUACUGGGUUUGUCUCCAUAGAUUAACAGAGUUUCGUUAUUCGCUAGAUUUAGACGGAUGGAUUUGUCGGCGUACAGGAUAUCAGCACGACAGAGACUCAACCAGUCCAUGCCCAUGAUGACAUCAAAACUUUUGAUCGAUACUGGUAUGAGGUUGAUUGGGAAUGAGUGAUUAUCUAGCGUGAGGGUGCAACACAUGUAGAUCUCAUUAGAACUCUCUGUCUUGCUGUUAGCCAUUUCUACGACGAAAGUUUCUUUUAGUGAUUGCGGGGAUUGUUUAAGUAGGUGUUUAAAGUUUUGAUUUACGAAGCUUCUUUCUGCUCCAGUAUUGAAUAGGAUACAAGCAUAAGAUUUAUCAAGAAGGGACGUACCCGUGACUACUGUGGGGUCUGCUACUGCUUCAUUGUGGCCAAUAGUAAGUAGUCUUCCUGUUCCUCCAGUAUUCCCAGCUUUCGGACAGUUUCUUUUGAAAUGCCCUACUUUGCCAUAGCCAUAGCAGGCUUGGCUUACUCCCGUGUUGGGGACCUGAGAAAUGGUUUUGGGUUGAGACUUGCAAAACUGGAUAGUAUGGCCCUUCCGGUCGUAGUUAGUGCAGUGCAAUUCACGGUAGGGGCCGUUAUGAUGAAAAGAGCACUUAUUGCACUUGGGUGGAUUCCAUGCAUAUGUUUUGGUUGGUACAGGGGCAGCAGGAGUAGUGGCAGCAUGGACAGCUACUACUUGUUGGUUUUUGGAAGAGGAUUUAGUUGACUUGCCCUUCUUUCGAUCCCAACGCUUCCUCUUCUUGUCGACAGUUUUGGGCGGUGCAAUGGCAAUCGUCAGGGUUGUUGAUGGAGUGGAGGGAGUUUCAUGAUCAAUCAACUUUUGGGUCAAUUCCUUGGCGCUGUCGAAGGUCGUCGGGCGUGAUGCUAAAAAGUUUCCUCAAUACGGGGGUACUAAACCCCAGAUGUAUCGUUCAAUCUUUUUGCCCUUAGUGAGGAUCAUGUUAGGACACAUAGUUACCAGGUUGCAGAACCUGGCCGUAUAGGCCACCAUGUCGGUCCCUUUCAUCUUGAGGUUCCAGAGUUCCUCCUCAAGUUUCUGAACUUCGCCCCUAGGGCAGUACUCCCUUCUCAGAAGGUCCUUCAGUGUGUCCCAGCCUAUGGCGUUGACUGUUACCAAGGAGAGUGAAUUGACAUGGCCGUUCCACCAUGUUAGGGCCCUUUCAGUAAAGGUGGCAAUGGCGAACUUAAUCUUGCUUUCCUCAAGGCACGAGCACAUCUCGAAGGUGGCUUCAGUUCUUUCGAUCCAUUGGGAAAGUGCAAUGAUCCCUCCGGUUCCAUUGAAGAAUGAUGGUUUGCAGCUCAUGAAAUCCUUAUAGGUGCACCCCUGUGUACGUGCAUGGAUUUCACCAUGUCUAGAGUUGGUGCCCAUUUCGGCUCCACUUGCAUUGCCAGAAUUCAUUUGGGCCAUAGGUGCAGUUACAGCUACGGUUGUAGCUGUCUGAAACAUCACUGGAUCGAACUACAGAGGAGGAGAUGGUGGUGGAGUUUAAGUUGCAGGUCUGCCCCUGCUCGGACGCUUGAGAGGAGGCAUCUUUUACUAAAAAUUUAUAAAGAUGAUGAUCAUAAUGAGAAACAAUUCUGAUCAUGAUGAAAAAUGUUUCACGGUUUAAACCGCCAUAGUCCAACUAUCAGAUAGAGUUAUGGCAACAGAGUAGGGAAACAUAUGAUUAUAGACUUCCCAACAGACUAAAUAACUGCCAAUGCUACUGGUAUUACUGAUGUGGAUAAGUUCGGGAAAAUUGGCCUAACAGUAAGUCUUUCAUCAAACCAUAUGAGGGGAAAAUGAUUGACAGUUUAGAAGACUACAUAGCAUAAUGAAAGAUAGGAAUAUUAUAUAGACAAGUGUUUCAUUCAAGCGCAGAUGCUAAAUGCUAUUUCAAAGUCAGAAGAAAAGAUGUGUUAGUCAUCUUUUAACGGCGGCGACGGAUGUUUCUCGGGCGAACUCUAAGGUCUUCCAGUUCACGUUUCAUGUCGAGGAGGUGUCGCUCGUAGACCCUCUGGCGAACCCGGAGCUCUAUGACUUUAGCCCGAGUCUCAGCUAAUGCCUGACGCAAGGCCUCGUGGUUCGCUGUAGACCUCUCCCUAGCAUGCUCCAGAUGACUGGUGUGAAUGGAGCGUAGUCCUCCAUUUGUAUCAACCUCUACGAUACGCUGGAUGGCUGUCCUGCCUUGGAUUUCGUUGCGGGAAACUCAUCGGACCAGGAUGGGCAAGAUUCUGUCCGUUGAUCCUACUUCGCUCGUAUCAUAAAAGCUUCGGUCACCAUUGAAUGGCAUGGGUUGAUUUUGCUCUUCACUCUACGUCUCUAUGCAUUCCACCCAUGCAAGCGUCGGGCCAUGGAAGGCCUGGCGAGGGUUAGGGUUUGGGACCGGAGCCACAAGAGGUAGGUUGUUGACUUCGGGUUCGGAGUCCGACCCAUCCGAGAAGCCUAUUGCAUGGUGAUCAUCCAAAGGAAUUGGGUGAUCAUCUUCUUACUCUUCAUCAAUCCAUCCUCUAAUGCCUUGGUUCGGGUAGUACGGAUCGCUGGGAAGGUGGAAGCCAGUCGUGCUAUCUACGCGAUAAUGGGGAAAGAAAGGUUAGUAGACGUGCUAAUCUAAGAUACUUAUAAGAUGAUCAUUAUUAGUCGACCCAAUACUUGCGUAGUGCAUACACAUUACAUGUAACCGAAGCGGGAUAGACCUUCGAAUAAGUGACCCUAACUCUAAGUCAACAAUAAAACAAGAACAGGAAAUGUAGCAAAGGUCACAGAUUCUAAGUCUAUAGCGCCUUAGUCACAUGUAACCAUGGUGUAUCCACUUAGAUACUAUUGCCCUAUUAGUAUCGACCCUUUUAGUUCUCACAUAUGUAGUUAAUAGAAUGUAGAAUACUCUUGUAGUAUUCUUGUUCUGAUGUUCUUGUGGUAGUGUUGGUAUGUUCUUAGACUUGUUGUAACACCACUAUCAUUCUUAGGCACAUUCUAGUCACUCCCAGGAAAAUGUAGUUGAUCAGGCUACAUCCACCCAGAAUUGACUAUAUGUCUGUAAGUCUAAUUGUGUUGUUCAACAAUCUUAAUACUUUUGUUUUGUUCUAGUAUGAUACUGACUCUGUGUAUUGGGUGAACGUUUAUAUAUACUUAGUUAAAUAUUUUAUAAUUUAAAAGUAUAUAUUCUUGGUCAGAGUGCUUUUAAUCCCGAAGUGUUUAUAGUUCGUAUAUAUUUUAUGGGUUGAUAUACUUAAUUCACGAUAAACAAGGCUCUGAUACCAAUCUGUCACACCCCAAAACCGAGAACAGCGGAAUAGGUUCUGGGGUGGAGGACGUCAUGUACAGUAUCUUAACAAUGCAUAAUAUUAAAAACAAGUAACAACAUCCAUUGCAUUAAGAUAAUAAUUGUAAUACAAGUGUGUUUUGUACAGUUUGAUAGACACCAAAAGUAUAAUCAAAAUAAAGAUAUGACUUGUAUAUGCACCAUCUUCUAAAAAGCUGCAUCUGUACCUGUCUACUAAUGACCUAAGAAUACAAGUUAUUUUGAAAACGAGUAGCAGCAUAAGGCUGGUGAGAUCAUAAGUAUUUAGUGUCAUUGCUUGAAUAAAAGUGUUUAAAAAUUUUGUGAUACAAUAAUUGUUAUAACAUUUUGAAAAUGGUAAGAUCCCUUGAAAAUCCUAUAUUUUCCAGCAAAAGUAGUCUUCCACCAAGACUCAGUUAUUUACCCGUUUGAUUCAUUGAAAUUGUAAAGGUUUCCUCUAGUGAAACUAUCAAUGUAAAAAUAUAGUUUUAAAUUUCAUUCAUGUAAAAUAAUUAAGAAAAAUAGAGUUUUACCCCAGCAGUAUCACUGUCGGAUGAAUGUAGUAGAGAUGCAAGCUUCAGGUGUUUUAAAUGUGUAUAGACCUCGGGGAGUCUGUUUUACUUUUAAUUCUUAAUGUGUUAGUUAAGGUGUGAAUGUGAACUUGUAUGUAACGAUGCAGAUUGACAGUAGUAUAACAGUUGACCCUCCAGGUCACAAGUAGUGUAGUGAUGUUUUGUUAUCCCUGGGCCUGGUCGGCUCGGACUGUAGCUAGCAGUCAGGAUGUGGGAGUGCCCAUCCCAUACAGAUCUAUACACAUAGUGUUCGCUCUCCCUCUAGCAGGCUCUGGUUACACGAAAAUCGCAUAGAGAAGUGUCGUAUCAAGAUGUAGUGCAUCACAUUCUAUUUUAGUAUAUAUUUUCUUGUAUAGAAUAUAGUAUUCUCUUCAUGUAGUGCAUAGUGUUCUCUACGUAUAGUUUAUAGUGUUCUCUUCGUAUAGUGUAUAGUGUUCUCUUCGUAUAGUGUAUGGUACAUAUAGACUCGUAAUUGUACUGACCAUAGUGAGUAUCAUAGUAGUAAUUAGUAACGAGUAGUAAUCCUUAACUAUACCUAUUAUAGUUAAAUAGAAAUGUUGGUUGAAUGCCUAUGAUACACAAAGGUGUUGAAAUGAAGUGAAGACUUUUAUAUCCAACACAAAUAUAUAUCAUAUAUAACUAAGAAUUCAAUGACAGUCGGACACAUAACAGAAUACCCUAAGUCCACAAUCAAACAAGAACAGGAAAUAAGGUGAGCUAUCAGUUCUAUGUCCUUCAAUCCUUACUUAUAUAAAUAUAUUAGUGUAGAUAUGAUAUGGAAAUAAAGUGAGUUUAAAAUCAUUGAAAACAAAUAGUUUUAGAACCAUUAAACAUGAAAAUGAGUUUGGUAAACAUUUAAAACAAUUUUGUUGGCAACGUAAUUUGAAAGUAUAGAAAAUCCUUUUGGUAAGAAGUUAUAAAUCACANCCCCCCCCCCAUAAAAUCGUAUAAAAACAUUUAAAGGUUGAUUAAGGUGUAUGAACUCACAGUUUAACGUAGGGUUCGAGUGUGCGAUUGAUAUGAGUGCUGAAUUUCAAUGGAUGCUCUGAACACAAGUGGUCCCUAUUAAUCAUAUGGUGACACGUAUAUGAGUUAGAGCUAGGGUGUUUCAUGACUAAACAUGAUGGGAAAUCACCCUAAAGACUUGGAUUCAUUAGGAUUAAGUGUCCCAUGUUUCGUACUUAGUGAUUCUUACAAGUUUAAGGUCAAAUAUGGGUACUAGAGUGGGUGUAUGGCCAUAAAAGUGAGUGUGCAGCUAGGGAAUGCGGCCAUAAAAAGGGUGUGUGCGGCUGUACACAGGAGUGUGCAGCUGUAAACUCCUUGUUUGAGUCCUAUGUGUCCAUUUUGAGGGGGUUCAGGUGUCAAACUAAGUCUUAGAUCGAUUAUAGAGGUCAUAUCCUCACUUUGGAGGAUGUUUUGAGUGUGUGCAGCCACCUGAUGAAGGUGUGCGGCUGCAAUCCUUCAAGGAGUGAAGAACACAAAGAACACUAUGAGUUUUAAGCUUAGAUUCAAGUGUUUUACCUAUAUAACUAGAUGAAAGAUGAUGCUCUUAACGUUUUGGAGGCCUUCUAAGUGUUCUUGGAUGAUGCUUUUAGAGAGAGAAAGUAGAGAGAGAGAGAGAAGGUGCAGCCAAAAGUGAAUGGAAAGGGGAGUCCUCUACCAUAUAUAGGGUCAGGUGUGAGGCUGGAGGGGGUUUGUGGUAGGGUGUGCGGUUGGCUGGCCGUACACUCUAGGGUGCGGCCGCACACACCUCUCUUGGUGUGUUUGGAUUGAUUUUUGCGAUGCAACACCCUUCCUAAUCCUUCUUAAGGCCCAUAUCUAUGAUAUACUAAGCCGAGAGCACUCAUGCGUACCCAACAUUCUGCUAAGAGAUGUUAAAUUGAAGUGAAUUAUAGAUAUAUGGAUCGAUUGUACAGUGUGAAAGUGUCGGGUUGUCACAACAUGCACGUGAGCGCAACGUACAAGAUAGUACGCACAUCCUACAUGGUAAGAAUCAAAAUCCUAAUUUCUAGGGUUCAAUCCCUAUAUAAUGUCAUUAAGUCCCAAGUGUUAUCCUCAUUAUCAACCUCUAUUGCCUAGAAACCCUAUUAUCAAACCGUAUAGCAUCUGGGUGUGUUAUUGACCUUGUGGAGUGUAUUUUUGGUAGUUUGUUGCCUUGGAAGUAAGAAGAAGUUGGUGACAAAGAGUUGUUGGAGAUUAAGCUUGAAGAUCCAGGUUAUCAUCAUCUUUUGGCACUCAUUUGAGGUAUUAAUUUAGAACUUGUUGUGUUAUAGCUUAGAUCUCUUUUGUUUUGAAUUUUUAGACCCUUUUUGGUCCUAUAGAUGAGAACUUCUUGAUUAUUGUCAUUUCUAAAGCUUAGAGUUGCUACUCUUGGUGUUCUUUUGGUCCUAGAGUUCAUUUUAUGGAAGUAGAGUGUUGUAUUUCGGGUUUGGGUUCAUUUGGGGAAUGCGAAGCCACCAAUUUUAUGACUUUAUGGUUUCAGAUGUUAUAUAUAACUCAGAUCUAUGAUGGGGACCCUUAGACUUAAGUAUUUAAGAGCUUAUUGGAGAAAUGGCUUUGUGGGUGAGUACGCUGGUCAUACAAGUUUGUACGCACAACGUACAAGCGAUGCGGCGUGUACGCUUAGCGUAUAGUUGAUUAUGCCCUACAUACUCAAUGAUUUGGCUUUGCGUCUUUUGGGCCUCGGUUGGACUAAGGAAUGUUAUGUUGAUACAAGGCACCAGAAGCGUUUUUGGACUAAGGAAGUUUAUUGGGUUGUGUGAUACAAGGCACCAAAAGCGACCCUUGAAAGGUUAUGUUGAUAUAAUUGUUGUAUGUGUGAUACUUGUAUAUGCUUGUUUAUGUAUGUUUAUCUGGCAGGCCCAAUAUACGAGUGUGGGUGGGGGUCGUAUCUUAUUCGGUCGGGCCCGUUAUGUGAGUGUCGGUUGGGUCCGUAUCUUAUUGAGCAGAGCUCGUUAUGCGAGUAUGGGUGGGACCCAUAUCUUAUUAAGUGGGGUCUGUUAUAUGAUAUGCAUGGUAUACGGUAUCUUAGGGAACUCACUAAGCUUUGUGGUUAUGAUUUUUAGUUUAUGUUUCAACUACUUUCGGUUCCAAGGUGAAGAGCUCGGGCUGACUGCAUCGCGCACACCAUAUGGAUUCUGUUUAUGGGACAUACUCUGAUUUUUAUGAUGUUGACAUACCUAUUUUAUUGGGUUGUAUGAAUAAUGUUUUGGAAUAUUAUUUUUACCUAUUUCAGAAAUGAAAGGUGUGGUGCAUGCAAGAAGCCGAGCUCAAGUAACUAUCUCAAGAUACCUAUACAUGUUUUAUGAUAUGCUUUGAAUUGUGAAUCUGUGAAUCGCAUGCUAGAUUAGUGUUAAGGAUCUAGAAGAAAUGCCUUUGUAUUCCUGUUGUAUGAGCUUAUAGAGUUGCAUGCUAGUGCUGAUCAGUCAGUGAUAGAUGGACUGAUUAGGUUAUGCUUGGUUCUGAUUAGUUGAUGCUCGAAUGGUGCUUGCUUUUUGCUUUUAGGAGUUCUCACUAGCUUCAGCUCUUGUUUGAGUCCAACCAUUAUAGUAUGAGACCUCCCACUUGAAGAAUUAUCUAGUUUUUGUAAUAUGUAAUUGUAUUCAUGGGCUAGUUAGAAGAAGUUCGUAGGAGUUCCUUCUGCAAUUGGUGGAAGAGCGUGGUGUGGAGUUUGCCCUAGGAAAACCUAGGAUGAGAUCUAGUGUUGGGAGAUUUAUCAUUCAGCUCUUGUUUGAGUCCAACCAUUAUAGUAUGAGACCUCCCACUUGAAGAAUUAUCUAGUUUUUGUAAUAUGUAAUUGUAUUCAUGGGCUAGUUAGAAGAAGUUCGUAGGAGUUCCUUCUGCAAUUGGUGGAAGAGCGUGGUGUGGAGUUUGCCCUAGGAAAACCUAGGAUGAGAUCUAGUGUUGGGAGAUUUAUAUAUGGGGGGAAUUGUUUGGGAUAUAAAAUAACUUGGUUAAAUUAAGGCACUUCUUGAGGAAAGUAGGAAUAGAUGUGGAAGUUAGUAUGGGCCCAUACUACUAGAAGCAGCGGAUUCGUACUCGAUUCAAUGAGGGUUGAGAUGAAGCCAGGGAGCUUGUGAAGUUGUGAUACCCCCAUGUUUAUUCUUGAUGUGUAUUCUGAUGGUUUGUAUUGGUCUAUUUUCAGUACGGUGUUAUUGUGAGGCAUAACGGUUGGCAAUUCUAGUGUUGGGAAGGUCUCGGGCUCAGGUUCUAGAGCCAAGCAGCUUGAUGAACAUAUGAGGGAGUUCAUCUCGUCUGAAAUUAUAAGCAGUAUCGUUAAGCAGAAUCCUGUGAUCUUUGGCAUGGUCAAGUAGGGUAUUUUGGAGAUUCUUGAUGAGCGGUUCAACGCCUUUCACGCUGAGAUUUUAGAUAUUGUCGGGAUGUGUUCACUAACUUUUAGGGAGUUUCAGGCAAUGUACCAGCCGUUAUCCCGAGGGGGACAAGGUCAGACUAGCUUCCUGCCUCUUGAAAGAUAGGGCACGUGAUUGGUGGGAGGCGGUAAAGCACCCUUUGGGUGAUGUUGUUGUUGAUUUAAUGACCUGGGUUGAUUUCUCAACCAAGUUCCGAGCUGAGUUUGCACCGGUGAUUGAGGUGCAACAGUUGGUGUAAGAGUUCCAGGAUCUCCUCCAGACUACUAAGACGGUGGCUGAGAUCACCGCUACGUUCAAGUGGAGGGCACUUCUGGUUCCGAAGUAUGUGGCUGACGAGGAGAUGAAGAACGCUCGGUACCAUGAGAUGCUGAGGAGUGACAUUCAGAAGUUUGUUAGCCGAUCCAGCUGGAUGAUGCUGGAAGACAUGAUAUAAAGGACUAGGGAGAGGGAGAUUGAUUUAGAGAUGGAGAAGAAGAGGAUGCCAGAUUCUACGUCUAGUGUUAAGGGUUCAGGUAAGAAGCUCAAGAUGAUUUAUUCGAGAAGGAAGGGAAAGCAGGGCUGAGGUCGUUGCGGCAAGUGUGGCAGGUCGCACGAGGGCGUGCAGGGUGGGUGGUUCUGGCUACUUCAAGUGUGGUCAAACUGAUCAUAUAAGCUAAGAUUUUACUGCUACCACUACCAUCACCUAGAUAUCUGAUCUGAUUUUCUUUCAUUGCAAUCAAAGAGGCCACAAGAAGGCCAAUUAUCUGAGUUUGGUGGCACCAGGACUGGUGUCAGCACCCGCUCCUGCGACUCUUCAGAUUACUGAAGGCCGUUAGGGCCAGGUAGAUGCCCCUGCGACAAUGAGCAAGGCUUUGUAGCUGACAGCAGAGGAUGCGCGUGCAACUCUCAAUGUGGUGACGAGUAUGUAUCUUCUCCUUAGCUCUUUUUUUAUAUUGAAUUACUUGCUUAUGUUUAUGUGCUUUAUUUUAGGAUCAUUCCUUGUGAACGGUAUCUCUACUUUAGUAUUGUUUGACUUGGGGGCCUCCUAUCUUUUGUAUCGCUUCCGCUUAGCAAGAGAUCUGUUGGUGCUCUGGGGGAGCUGGAUUGUCCUCUUGAUGUUGUGUUGAUGAUAGGACGGUUCGGGUUGUGGGGGUUCAUCGUAGUUAUGGAUUGCUUGAGCCUAAUGGGGCAGUGAUCAAUUGUGAGCAUCAGUUUGUUCGGGUUCGGACCCCAAGUGGGGGAGAGUUGGUGAUUCAGCGUGAACCGAUUUUGUUUUCUACAGUGAGAGCCAGACGUUAUCUUCAUCAGGUUUGUUCGGGUUAUGUCUCUUAUGUCAUGGAUACCUGGGAUAAGGGUAAGGAAAUUGUGGAUGAUGUGCUAAUUGUGUUGGAUUAUUUGGAUGUGCUCCCAGAGGAUUUUCCUGGGAUACCUCCGGAGAGGCAGGUGGAGUUUAGGAUUUAGCUGGUUCCAGGUGUAGCUCCGACAGCCAAAACACCUUAUCGGAUGGCUCCUCCCUAAAUGCAAGAGUUUUCUACACAGCUGUAGGAGCUGUUAGACAAAAGAUUUAUUUCGCCGAACAGUUCUCCUUAGGAAGCAUCGAUUUUGUUUGUGAAGAAGAAGGACGAGUCUAAUCGUAUGUAUAUCGACUACCAUCAGAUGCAGGUCUAGGAUGAGGAUGUGCAUAAGACGACUUUCUGGACUCGAUAUAGUCAUUAUGAGUUCCUGGUGAUGCCUUUUGGGCUCACCAAUGCUCCGGCCACAUUCAUGGAUCUCAUGGACUCCGUGUGUAGACCCAUGUUGGAAUAGUGUCCAAGGUCAUUAACUAUUGGUACUAUUUCUAAUACUAGUAGGGUCCUUUUGGGUUGCCCUCAAGACCCAAAUUGAGUAGAAUAAAUAAAGGAGAAAUUACUUUAUUAAUUAUCAUGGUUAAUAAUUAAUUUGAAACUAAUUGGAAAUAUACUUUCGGAAUUAAUUAAUAGUUUAAUUAAUUAAAGGGUUGAAUGUUCAUUACUCGAUAGUUGGUUAAUCAAGAAUGUUCCCGGACCUUAUGGAAUUAGGGUUGGAUGAAAAUCACUCCAUCCCACAUCGGAAAGGAGUGAAAUUUCAUGGUUAUUUUCCCAUCAAACAUGGGAAGGAGUACAAAACCUAAGGAGGCAUCCAAGACUAUACAUAGGGCCUUAGGGAUUUCGGUCCUCCUUGCACCUUGGCUUGAAGUAUUCGCCAACCCUUCUUCCUCCCCCACUUAGGGACGAUUUCUAACCCCUUUGGGUUUGUGCAAUUGACCCUUCUCCUAGUUAUUUUUAUUCCACUCUUUCAUGUCAUUGGGUGUGAUACAAUUAGAGGGAUUCUGGUUUGGGUCCUUUCAUCCAAGCAACUCCAUGGAGGUUGAAGAUCUCUAGCAUGGAGAUCAAGGGCAUCAUAAGAGAUAUGAUUUCUUAAUUAUGUUUUAGUUUUCUAUGGUUGAUCUAAUUAGCAUGAAGCCAUAGAUCCAUAGGAUGCAUGUACACUUAGGUAUAUUGUUGAUUCCGUUUUUCUGCUGCCUAGUUUAAGAGUGUAUUUGAUGCAUAGAAAACCCAACAGUGGUAUCAAAGCCAUUGGUUCAUGGUUACCUUCACCCUAGAUCCAUGUUUUCUGAAAAUGCUUGUUUGAAAUUGAAUGGUAGAAGGAUUAUUGAAGAAUUCCUAAUUGAUAAUACCUUAGCCGCAGCUCACGACGUGAGCUCAGCAGAACUAGGAUUUCAGGUUUUUUUUUCCAUUUUUUGAAUAUGAGGCUUUAUCAAACAUGGAUAAAUACCUAAUUUAAUUUGUUUUUGAAUCUGGAAAAAUUGAUAUAUAUUAUUUAAAUGUGUUUAUUUGAAUUUGAAUAUUUAUUUGAUAAUGGAUCAAUAUUAUUUAAAUGUGUUUAUUUCAAUUUGAAUAUUUAUUUGUUAUUUAAAUUGUGAAUUUAAAUAUUUAAUAUUUUUAUAAUAGAGAUUUAUAAAUUUGAAUAUUACACCCUUAUGAUUUAUUAAUUGUUACAUUGCGCCCUUGCAAAUAAUUAGAAUUAAUAACAGACAACUAAAAUUAAAGAGUUCUAAAUUNUCAUACAUAUAUAGAUAUAUAUAUAUAUAUAUAUAUAUAUAUAUAUAUAUAUAUAUAUUAGAAUUGUGUCUACUAUAUGUAUAAGAAAGUUACAACAUGCGCCCUCGCGUGUUUAAAUAUUGACAUGGCCAAUCUUACCAGGACUAGGCUCACCCGUUGUAAUGUAGGGGUUUAAGGAGGUCUCUUUGAUUCCUAAUAAGGUCGGUUUUUAAUAUGCUUCAUGCUUACCACCCUCACCACCCUAUUGCAUUUUGAGAAUGGUGUUACCGAAAGGGUUUGAUAGUGAUAAUGGUCAAUCUAAAAGUAUUCUAAAUACAAGUGUAAAACAAAAUCCCUUUUUAUUAAUUGAAUGUGAGUUUAUAUUAUUCAUGAAAAUUGCACAUUCUCUUUAUAUUCUGUUAGUGGAGCUCGUGUGGUUAACCGACAUAACAAUCUAGAAUAUAGUUGAGAAUGAUAUGGAACUCACGAAUCUCAAGCAUAAGUUGAGCUGGGGACCAUGCGAUUUUGCAUGGUUAAUUCUUAAUCUAUUUAAUGUGAAUCUUAUGUUAUACAUAAAAGUUGCACAUUCUCUUUAUAACUUGUUGACGGAGCUCGUGUGGUUAGCCGACACAUUAAUUUGAGAGUGUAGGUAGAGAAUGAUGUGGAACUCACGAAUCUCAAGCGUAACUUGAGCCGGGGAUCAUGCGAUUUUGUAUGGUCGAUUCACCAUCUGUUCAGUGAUCUGCGGCGACCCCGCCAUUGAAUUUGAGAUGAACAUAAUCCGAGAUUAACAUGCCAUUGAUAGUCAAUGAAUCUGAAAGAUUAAGGAAUUUCAUGAUGAUCGAAAUUGGCAGAGGAUUUUUCCUACCUAAAUAACUUUAUGUUGUGUUUAGGGCAUCCCUUUACACAUCAUGGAGCGAAAUAUGGAUCCUAGCCUUCUAAAAUAAUUUAGGGUGAUUAUUUUCUAAGGAUAAGUAAAACAAACUAUAAUGGAAUUUUAAUGAAUGAUGUCAAAAACCUUAUCCACUAAAAUCUAUUGGUAUAAAACCUUUGAAAGGAUUAGCUAUGACGAUGAUCAGUCUUGUCAAUUUCGUAGUUUGCGAAUAGCUUUCAUAAACGAAAGGAAAGAUCACGCCUUUGUUAAAUCUCUUCCUAGGUUACUUCAAACAUUGCAUUCUAAAUUGUUAGAAAGAGAAAUUAUCAAAUGUAUGUUGUAAAUUGACAUAUUGAAGUAAAAUGGAAUUUCCUUGAGUUAGGAGUUGACUAUGGUUAGUUGACUAGCUAACAUGUACAUAUGAUCAGUUCAUUCUGAUUUUGAUAUGAACAAGUUGGAAUAUCCAUUAAGGAGUUGUGUAGCAUGUUCAGAUUUCCUUUUGGAACCAUCAUGGCCAAUCAUAGAAAUUCAUACUUCAAAACACUCCUGUAUUUUACUAUCAUGAAUAGAAGUAUCAAGAAGAAGAAAGCCAAUUGCUUGCGGUUUAAAAGGCGACUAGUGUGGGUAUACCUAAUCUAGGCCCUAAUACCUAGGACAAAGAAGGCUUAUUCUAAGACAUGUUCUGAUAGCUGCUUGUUUCCAUAACAAGAAAAGGACUAAGAAAUCAAACUUGCCCAAAUGUAUAUUUGAGGUGAAAGGACUGGAACAUGAAGAAGUUAAAUUUGAUCAUGGAUCACGAUCCUGUGCUACUUUCCAUUGUAUCAAAAGAUAGCUAGUUCUUCCAUGUUUGUUAUUCAAACAAAUAUAUGGAUUUAUAAUUCCAUCAAAACAUUACUUCUAAACGUUGAGUGCAUUGCUAAGGAUUAGUGUUGACAUUUUCAAGAAUUUGUAGUCACUAAAAUGAAGUAAGAAGACUAAAACAUGGAGAAGAUAAUUUGAUCAUGAAUGUCAAGCCCUUGCUACAUUCAUAUGAUCAAAAGACAACUCUUUUCAAAAAUGUUUAGUCUAUGGUAUUAUAAUUGAAAUUUUUUAUACUAUAAUUCAUGAGUUAGUUUUGACUUAUUUAAAUGUGGAGCAUUCUAACAUGUUAAAAGAAAGUCAUGAAAUCUAUGAAGCCAGUAUAGUAGCAAUAGUUCAAAAUUAAUUCGAACAUUUGAAUAAGGUGUAUUAUUGUGAAUAUUUGUUGAUGUUAGUUCAAAUAAUGGAUCGUUCAGAUUGACCAUAGUAAGUACUUAUUCAAAUAUAUCCAAAUGUUUGGGUGAAAUUUAUUUGUGGAAUCAUAGUCUUGGAAACAUAAAUGAGAAAUCUAUUACCAAAUAUCCAGUUGGAUCGGAUUUUGGAUAUCAUUUGACCUCGAGUCUUAUGAUAAAUGUAAAUCUUGUUUAUCAAGAUAGAUGAUGAAUGUGGCACUGGGUGAUGUGAGUAUCUUUUGGAAUUAGUUCACACUAAUGGACCGUUCAGAUUAACCACGAUACAUAGUGAAACAAACUUCGUAUGAAUACGAGUCUGGGACCUCUCAGGUGUUCAGAUCGCUUAUAAAAUGAAGUUAAGAACCAAUUGGGCAAUAGGAUGAGACACUCAUAGUGAGAAUCUCAGUCCAAAAUUUAUCGAUCAUCUGAGGAGUUGUGAAAGUGUUUCAUGGUCUAUCUCCACCCAGAACACUGCCACUAGGAAGUGUUAGUUGGAUAGAGAAACAAAUCGUUCCUUGAUUUUGUACUAGAAGAGUCGCACUGUCUUUGCUAACAAUUCGUGGAUUGUACCAUGAAUAGUGUUACAAGCAAUCCUUUGUUCUUGUGCCAACUAACUAGGCUCCUGAAACACUCUAUGAUGAAGUGGGAUUCUAGCCUCACUGCCAUAUAUGUAAGUCUCUGAUUAUGAGGCUUACGCUUGUUGUGAAGCACUCGACAAUGUAGGACUUUGAUUAGAGACGUGUUAUUUUGAUGGAGAGCCCAUCACACAUUUUGGAUAAUUGUUUAAAAAUCCCUCUGAGAACUGUAUGUUGCUCAAAGGGCAGUCUUCCAAGAGAGGGAGCUGAUUUGCAAAAGAGCUAGUGGGAGCCACAUUGCUCUUGAUAAGAUUUGCGAAUCAACCCAUGAGAGGCUUAUAGUUGGACAUAACAUUCAAUCCGGGAUUGAAAGAGCUAUUAAGGAAACUGACCUACCUCCACCACUUCCUUAUAGAUCUGAUAGAUAACGUCAUAUACUCGUUAUAUAAUACUACCUCCGUCCCAAAAUAUAGUCCAUCUUUCCUUUUUAGUUUGUCCCAAAAUAAUAGUCCACUUCUAAAAAUAAAUAACAUUUUUACCAAAAUACCCCUCAUUAUUACUUAACCAAUUAAGAAUUUAAUGGAACAUUAAAUGCAAAGUAAGGACAAAAUUGUCAUUUUAUUAAAUAAAGUUAGUGGUAAUUAAUGCUUCCUUAAUCUGUAUGUUUUUUGUUUGUGGACUAUAAUUUUGGGACGGAGGGAGUAGUUUAUAUUACUAAGGUAUGUGAGUUACUGGUAGAUAGCAAUCAGAGUGUACCAGCUAUCGGAAGCUAUGGUAGACCAUAAAGGCAAAAACAUAGAAGGAGGAAAUGGAAAGCGAGAUUCAAUCCAUGUAUGUUGUAAUUUGGUAGAUCAAGCACCGUGUCCCAAACUUUAAGCAUAUAUAAAGUUGAGAGAGCCUCAUUUGAAGCCUUUUCCACUCUCUCUCUACUCUCUCUAUAACCUCUCUCCUCAAGUCCAAGUUCUUGAUCCAAAAUCACUCAUUUCAAGCUCCAAAUCUUCAAGGUAACUAUCCUAGCUCCUAGUAUGUCAUCUUUAGCUUUCAAAUUCGUGGAUAAUCUAUGAAAUAGGACCAUUGGCAUGAGUUUAAGGUCCUAGAAUAGCCCUAGGCCGUGAACUCACAUAAAAGGGGGUUUUGAGCCUUAAAACCCUCCCAAAUCACUCUUGGAGCUUGGAAAUGACCUAAGGACUUAUUUGCAAGGGAAAUGUCUUAGCUGCGAAGCCAGACACCUAUGACAGCACCAAAUGCCUAGCACAAACCCUGAUCGACCAUAGCGAUUGCCUAGAGGAAGCAGCCACCACUCCUGAGCCGACAGAGAGGAGUGGUGAGAAAAGAAAAUCUUGAAAAAAGAAGAAGAGUCAGCUUUCUCAGGAGUCCUCGAAGAAGCUGCAAACGGUGGCAAUUCGCGCUGCUACUGUCCCUGCUGCUGUCUCUGCCGUCGGAUCCACAGCUCAAACUCCUACCAGUAGGUAUGCUAGUACCCUCCCUCCGUGUAACAAGUGCAACUAUCAUCACCUCACUUCCAGCCCAUGUCGAGAGAUGUUUUGUAACAGUUGUGGCAAAAAGGGUCACACUGCGAAAAAUUGUAAGACACCAACCCAAUCAACCAAUCAAGCUUCCGGAUCGGGAAUCGGUCCGACCUGCUACAGUUGCGGCGAAGUCGGGCAUUUCAAGCGAAACUGCCCCAAGACAGCAACAACUGGCAACACUGGAAGAGUCCUAGCUAUGGGACAAGUUGAGGAAGCCGCCGAUCCCACCGUUGCCACAGGUAUAUUCCUCUUCGACAACCCUUAUGCUUGCAAUCCGUUUCAAUUCUAGUACUGAAAGAUAAUCUGUUAGUUAUUCAUUCAAACAUCUUCAUAAACAUAGUCCUCAACUAGUAACCGAAACGUUUAUCGUCGAGAUAGCUAGCGGUGACAAAGAGAGCAUCAACUAUAAACUUGUUGGAUAAGGUGUCUAAGUCCAUAACUAUUUCGGGCUUGUACUUGACCCGACCCGGCAUGGUCCAUUUGGGUUGCAUGGCACCAUGCAAUUGGAUAGACUAAAUGAGAGAAAUAACACUUGGAGAUUAUUAAUAUAUUAUAAGUUCUAAUAUAUUAAUAAUAUUAUUUGAUUAGUUGAUCAAAGAAUUAAUUUGGAAUUAAUUAAGUGAUCAAAGGAUAACUAAUUAAAUAUAUGGGUUGAUUAUGUAAAUCAUCCAUAUCUUGUAUAGUGGGCUAAGAGGCUCCAUGGAUUAUCAAGUUGGGUUCUACCCAUAGGAUGCUCCAUGGAUGCUCCAUGGGAGUUACAAACCCAUGGGUCAUGGAAAUGAAGAGUCAUGACACAUUAGGGUUUACAUGGUGUAACCCUAGAUGUGCCAACACUAUAUAAGAGUCCCAUUCUCCACAAAAUUGGCUACACAAGUUGAACACUAAGAAACUAGAGGGCUUGGCCGAUUUUGAGAAGUGUGUGUUAUCUCAAGAGUCUUUCCAAGAGCAUUUGGUGUUGUGUGAAGCAUUUGAGGCAUCACACUUGGGGUGCUAGGCUCACAAGGUUUCAAGGAACACAAGCAACAACAAGGUAAGUUAUUCUAUCUAUGAUUCAAGUUAAAAUUGUUCCCCAUGUAUGCUAGAUAGGAAUAUAACCUUGGAAUUCAACUUUGCAUGAUAAUUAGACAAACAUAGAUCCAAGGUUAUUAGGGUUGCAUGUACACUUAGGAAGUGUUAGAAUGCUCAAAACCCAUCAGUGGUAUCAGAGCCUAGGCUUGUUUGUUUGUUAUUUGUGCUUAAAAGUUGAAGAAAGUCGAAAAUUCUGCUGUCUGACUGAUGGACUCGGCGAGUCCAUGGGGAGGACUCGUCGAGUUCAUGUGUAUCUUCAACCUACUCGGCGAGUAGGUUUAUGCACUCGGCGAGUAGGGUCGACAGAGUGCAGAAUUUCGACUUGAGUUGCUGGAAAUGGAUUAGAAUCAUUACCCUAAAAUGUUUUGGUACUUGAAAACUUAUUUUAGAAGGUGUAAUGUCUUUUCUAACUCAUUUACAACAACUAGUUAUCAAAAUUACAAAGAUUAAAUGUGAUUUUGAUUCUUGAAAGUGUUCAUAUUCAUAUUCUUGUUCUUAUGAUGUUUAGAUGAUCAUAGGAAUUAUUUGUAACCUAUGUGGUAGAUUAAUUCAUGAUCAUAAUGUGUUUUAAUGGAGUCCAUAACUUGUCCUCAAGUUAUGGAAAACCAAAAGUCUCUUGGAUUAAAAACCAUUAAAAGAACACAAGAGUUAGGAAAAAUGAAAAGUCCUCAUUUUAUUACUCUAUUAAACUCAUAAGUUACAAGAAAUGAAAAGUUUUGAAAGUUUACAAAACUUGCCCUCAAGUUUUGGAACAAGUAAAGUUAAGUUAAAACUUUAGUUCCAACCCCUAGAAUUUUAAAAGUUAAAAUUCAACCCUUAUACUUAUAUUAUUAUGAUUUAAUAAUUAUAUAUAUAUGUAUAAGAACAAAGUCGUCUUACCGCUAGUACGCCUCAUUCACGAAGCCGGUCUAUAAGGUGGGUAUAAGGUUGUUGCCUAUAAAAUGGUGACUUAAUGGGUGUCCACUCUCACCCACCGCUUGCUUGAUCGGUGGAGGGUCGUUAGCCGAACGGGUAAGACAAGGACUUAUUAAUUCUCAUUCAAAGUAUGAUGAAUAUUAUAAAGUAACUAAAUGUUUUAUUAAAUUCCCAAUCUUAGUUACUUUAGGAAAAAUGUGAAUAAGGUGCUAUUCCAUGAAAUUACACUUUACACUUUGAUUAAGUCGUUGGUGGAGCGUGUGUGGUUAACCGGCACACUAACUUGGACUUAACAAGGUAGGUAAAGGGUGACUUAGGGUUUAUUAUAGUAUCGAUGGAGCGUGUGUGGUUAACCGGCACAUCGAUUGAGUGAUAAACUUUAAGGGUACCAAGUGAUUUGCAUGGUUACUUCACACCUCGUUUUGUGAUCCUCGGUAUCCCAGUCACAAAACUUGGAGGGCACACUCGAGAUUGAAACAUGCCUUUGAAAAGUUCAUUGAAUCUCAAAGAAUCUAGGAAUUUCUAAGAACCAUUCAAAAACCUAAUACUAAAAUAUUGCGGUUUUCGUGGUGGAAAUUGGUGAAUCGUCAUUCACCUACCUUUCAAAUAUGAUAUAGCUUAGAUUACGGCAUACCUCUUCUAAGUUAUAUUAUAUUGUGAUUGGAUCCUAGCCUUAAUAUUACAUUUGGGUGUUUUAUUAAGGACUCUCUUAUAUCUAAACUAAUCUUGUCCUCUUUCCUUCAGAUGUCUUUCAACAAUGCUUCUGGCUCUAAUCCUAAUGGCUCCUUUACCCUUAUGAACUUGUGUGGGAAAGUCACCUUUGAUGGAUCCAACUUCAAUGAGUGGAUCAGAAACAUCAGGAUGAUUACCCGCUACGAGGACAAAGAAUAUGUCCUUGACAAGGAGCUUAAGGAGAUUGAUGAGUCCACUGCAACUCCUCAGGAGAUCGCUGAAUUUCGGGCACAUGAAAGGGAUGCUACGAAAGUGGCUUGCAUCAUGAUGGCCACGAUGACAGCGGAACUCCAAAAGUCUUAUGAGGAUUUCUACCCUUAUGACAUGCACCAAGAUUUGAUGGAAAGAUACCAUCAAAGUGCAAGACAAGAGAGGUAUGAAAUCAUCUGCUCCAUGAUAACAACCAUGAUGAAGGACGGGGAAUCCGUCACGAGCCACAUGCAGAAAAUGCAAAGGUAUGUGGAUCGUUUGCUGAAGCUUAAUGUGAACUUCCCGGAGGAUCUUGCAAUAGAUAUUAUUUUGCAUUCCUUACCAUCGUGCUAUGAUCAAUUCCGCAUGACAUAUCACAUGAACAAGGAAGAAGUCACCCUCAGCAAACUUCAGGGACUUCUCAAGACCGCAGAAACAGGUCUUAAGGGGAAGUCGGUUGCUAUCACUCCUACUCAAAACUCUACUCCGGUUUUGGCAAUCGGGAAAAGUCGAGGGAGGAAGAGAAAGAGCUCUUCUAAGGGUACCAAGGCUCGGACCCUUGAUGGCUCUUCUUCAAGUGGAACCAAGAAAGGUUUCGUUACUCCUUCUUCUGACCCAAAAGAGGCUGAAUGCUUCUAUUGCCAUGAAAAAGCUCAUUGGAAGCGGAACUGCCCAAAAUACCAGCAAGAUGUGAAGGAUGGGAAAGUUAAACCCAACCAUGCAGGUAUUUACACUAUCAUUUCUAAUAACUCACCCCAUUCUAAUUCUUGGGUCCUUGAUACCGGGUGUGGUAUUCACAUUUGUUGUGACUUGCAGGGACUAAGAAGAAGUGAGGAUGUGGAGCAAGGAAGGAUAAACUUGAUCAUGGGGAAUAGGAAAGCUAUACCUGUUACCAAGAUUGGAGUUUAUACUUUAUCGCUAAGUAGUGGGUUUAGUUUAGAUUUGAAUAAGUGUUGUUAUUCGCCAGGAAUGGCAAGAAAUAUUAUUUCCUUUCAUGCUUUGUACAAACAAGGGUUUACCUUUUCAUUUAAUAAUGAAGUUGGUUCUAUAGAUGUUUUCUAUAAUAAUGUCUUUUAUUUUAAAGCAUUACCUUGUGAUGGUGUGUAUGAAGCUGUAUCUGUUGUAGAUAACUUGGGAAAUAAUGUUUUGUGUAUUGAUUCUACUAAUAAUAACUUGGAUAAAGCAUCUUUAUGGCAUUGUCGUCUUGGACAUAUAAGCAAGAAACGCAUAGGCCAACUCCAAAAGGAUGGAGUCUUGGAGUCGUUUGACCUAAAGUCAGAUGAUAGUUGCGAAUCAUGCUUACUUGGAAAAAUGACAAAGUCACCCUUCACAGGUUCGUGUGAGAGGGGUGAAGGUUUGUUGGACCUUAUACACACGGAUGUGUGUGGACCAUUCAAACAUGCCACAAGGGAUGCUAAUCGUUAUUAUUUGACUUUUACUGAUGAUUAUAGUAGAUAUGGAUAUGUCUACUUGAUCAAGCAUAAGUCAGAGACUUUCGAGAGGUUUAAGGAAUUUAAACAGGAAGUCGAGAAUCAAUUGGGCAGGAACAUUAAGAUGCUUCGAUCCGAUCGUGGUGGUGAGUAUCUUAGUUCAGAGUUCCUCGACUAUCUAAGGGAAUGUGGGAUAGUCUCACAAUUGACACCUCCCAGGACACCACAGUUGAAUGGUGUGGCUGAGAGGCGUAAUCGAACCUUGUUAGAUAUGGUUCGUUCCAUGAUGAGUCGAGCUACGCUACCAAUCUCAUUCUGGGGGUAUGCCUUAGAGACUGCCGCCCAUAUUCUUAAUCUAGUCCCUACAAAGAAAGUUGCCAAAACUCCUCACGAGAUGUGGACUGGUAAAGUACCUAAACUAGACCACAUCAAGAUUUGGGGUUGCGAGGCUUUCGUGAGACGCGAGACUCAUGAUAAGCUCGAACCUCGAAGCGAGAGGUGUAUUUUCAUCGGUUACCCACAGCGAUCCUUUGGUUACCUCUUCUACAGACCUAGUGACAAUGUGGUCUUUGUAGCAAGAAGAGGAGUCUUUCGAGAAAGAGAGUUUAUAAGCCAAGGAGACAGUGGGAGGCAAAUUGAUCUUGAAGAAAUUCAAGAAUCAAGCGGUGAAGGAACUUCAAACUCUAGCCCUCAACUUGAGGAGGAAACUCCUGUUGAGCCAAUUGACAAAUCUGUACCUCUGAGACGUUCCACGAGAGUUAGGAGUGCACCUGAGCAUUACUAUGGAUUCCAUAUUACUGCAGAAGGUGAGACACUUAUUAGUGAUGAGACACUAGUAAGUCAAGAUGACCCUAACAGCUACGAGGAAGCCAUGGCAGGCCCCGAGUCUGCUAAAUGGAAAGAGGCUAUGGAUAGCGAGAUACAAUCCAUGUAUGACAAUCAAGUUUGGAACUUGGUUGAAAAUGUACCAGGUCGUAAGACAGUAGGGUGCAAAUGGGUCUUCAAGAAGAAGACCGACAUGGAUGGUAAAGUACACACUUAUAAGGCUAGACUGGUUGCAAAGGGCUUCUCUCAAAUUCCUGGAGUGGAUUAUGAUGAGACCUUUUCUCCGGUAGCCAAGAUUAAGUCUAUUCGGGUUCUGUUAGCCAUAGCUGCAUUUCAUGACUAUGAAAUAUGGCAGAUGGAUGUCAAAACCGCUUUCCUUAAUGGAAAGUUGGCUGAAGAUGUUUACAUGAGUCAGCCAGAGGGUUUUGUCAGCAACGAGUACCCUAAUAGAGUGUGUAAGCUUGAGAAAUCCAUUUAUGGAUUGAAGCAAGCACCUCGCAGAUGGAAUCUUUGCUUUGAUGAAAAGGUCAAGGAAUUUGGCUUUUCUAGGAGUGAAGAUGAAUCUUGUGUGUAUGUCAAGGCUAGUGGGAGUAUAGUUAGCUUUUUGGUAUUGUAUGUGGAUGACAUACUACUCAUAGGAAACGACAUUCCAACCCUGCAGGAAGUAAAGUCCUGGCUUGGGAAGUGUUUCGCUAUGAAGGACCUUGGUGAAGCUGCCUAUAUUCUAGGGAUAAGAAUCUUGAGAGAUCGGAGUAAAAGACUAAUUGGACUUAGUCAGAGUACCUACUUGGAUAAGGUGCUGAAGAGAUUCAGCAUGCAGGAUUCCAAGAAAGGAGAGUUACCCAUCCAGAGUAACACCAGAUUGAGUAAGACACAAAGCCCUAGCACUGAGGCUGAGAUAGCAGAAAUGAGUCGAACACCUUACGCUUCGGCUGUAGGAUCGAUCAUGUAUGCUAUGACGUGUACUCGACCCGAUGUAGCUUUUGCCUUGAGCAUGGUUAGCAGGUAUCAGGCGAACCCUGGCAAGGCACACUGGACUGCGGUAAAGAAUAUCCUCAAGUACCUACGGAGGACUAAGGACUGGGUCCUUACCCUCGGUGGGAGUGAUGACUUGAGAGUUGUAGGGUAUAGUGAUGCUAGCUUCCAGACUGAUAGGGAUAAUUUCCGCUCUCAGUCGGGCUGGGUCUUUACCCUAAACGGAGGAGCAAUUUCUUGGAAGAGUUCCAAGCAAGAGACAGUGGCAGAUUCUACUUGUGAAUCAGAGUAUAUUGCAGCUAGUGAAGCAGCAAAGGAGGCGAUAUGGCUGAAGAACUUCAUUGGAGACCUUGGAGUUGUACCAGCUAUUAAAGAGCCAAUGGAAAUUUUCUGUGAUAGUGAAAGUGCUGUUGCCUUAGCCAAGGAACCAAGGGAUCAUGGGAGAUCCAGACACAUCGACAGAAAAUACCAUUUCAUUAGACAUCGGAUCGAAGAAGGACUCCUCGUGGCAAAGAGGGUAUCAUCGGAUGAGAACCCAGCAGAUCCCCUCACGAAGGGACUGAGUAGGGUUAAGCAUCUCCAGCAUGCUCGGAGCAUAGGGCUGAAGGAUGAUAUAAGUUUUAGUAGUUAGAUAACCCAGAAAUUUGUAAAGUGUAAUUGACAUUUGAUGAUGAAUAAAAGGUGUUUUAUUUAUGAGUAAAGUGUUGCUAUCUCUUGUCGAUCGUUUACUAUAUUUCUUUUGCAUGUUUUGACUUCCAGAAUAAUUUUGUUUGGUAUAACAUAUUAUUCAAACCUCCACAGUCGGUCAUAUGUCGGAAGUAGGUAUGAAUCAAGACUGUCAUGAUGGGUUGUAGAGGUCUAAGGUGUUGGACAAGGCUACAACAAUCAUGAGUGCUCAUAAGUUCUGAGCAUUGGACUCAACCCACGCUCACUGGAAUCACUUCAUGGAAUUCUAUCUCGAGUGAUCGUGAGACGGUAAUAUCAUAUAAGUCUUCAAACCUAGAGAUAUGAUUUGUUACUUACAAGUUGGUUAUGCAUUGACUGUACGAAACCGCAUUGGUAACUCGAUGUUAUAAAACGUACUUUUGUGUGUAAUUCAAUGAGUGGUAGAACAAACAUAUGAGUCGAAGUUUAUCUGUUCCUUCUUGGAUUAGAAGCUGAUAUCUGGGCCCCUCGAUGAUUUUGUUUUGACCCAUGUACCGGGCCCGGUCAGAACUAAGUUGAUGUGUUCAAUUAAGUUCUAUGUCAAACAAAUCGGAAAUCGGGAAACAAAUGCUGGACAAUAAGCAAGACAAUGUUCCAUGUAUUUGUCCGGCUGAUAUCUAGAACGGAGGAUUAUAUGAUCACUUAUCUUAAAUGGCGUACCAUCAUCUUCUCAGUUCCGAGAGACCUUGAAAGAGCUACGAUUGCCGGUCGGUUCCUGAAGUACUAGAGAUAUAGUUAUUAGACUUAUCCAAGUGGGAGACUGUUGGAUAAGGUGUCUAAGUCCAUAACUAUUUCGGGCUUGUACUUGACCCGACCCGGCAUGGUCCAUUUGGGUUGCAUGGCACCAUGCAAUUGGAUAGACUAAAUGAGAGAAAUAACACUUGGAGAUUAUUAAUAUAUUAUAAGUUCUAAUAUAUUAAUAAUAUUAUUUGAUUAGUUGAUCAAAGAAUUAAUUUGGAAUUAAUUAAGUGAUCAAAGGAUAACUAAUUAAAUAUAUGGGUUGAUUAUGUAAAUCAUCCAUAUCUUGUAUAGUGGGCUAAGAGGCUCCAUGGAUUAUCAAGUUGGGUUCUACCCAUAGGAUGCUCCAUGGAUGCUCCAUGGGAGUUACAAACCCAUGGGUCAUGGAAAUGAAGAGUCAUGACACAUUAGGGUUUACAUGGUGUAACCCUAGAUGUGUCAACACUAUAUAAGAAGCAUAUUCUCCACCAAAAAUCGGCACUACUAAGGAACAAGAGGGCUUGGCCGAUUUUGAGAAGUGUGUGUUAUCUCAAGAGUCUUUCCAAGAGCAUUUGGUGUUGUGUGAAGCAUUUGAGGCAUCACACUUGGGGUGCUAGGCUCACAAGGUUUCAAGGAACACAAGCAACAACAAGGUAAGUUAUUCUAUCUAUGAUUCAAGUUAAAAUUGUUCCCCAUGUAUGCUAGAUAGGAAUAUAACCUUGGAAUUCAACUUUGCAUGAUAAUUAGACAAACAUAGAUCCAAGGUUAUUAGGGUUGCAUGUACACUUAGGAAGUGUUAGAAUGCUCAAAACCCAUCAAAACUUAGUUUCAACCUUCGCGUCGUUUCGUACAUUAAAGCUCAAAAGGCUUCUCCGAAGGGGGUGCGCUAAAUUCCUAGUCUAUGUGACCAUAGAGAAACAUGAAGUUGCAUCCCCGAAGUCAACAAUUUUCCUGAUGUCUUUCCGAAGAGCUCCCGGAAAUUCCUCCCGAACGCCAAUUAGAAUUUCGCAUCAACUAAUUUCAUAGAGCCAGCUACUUCUCACAGAUAGAACUUAGGUCAAGGGACCAUCAGCUACGAGCUCAAUGGAAUGAUGUUUCCACAACAGCAUUCAGGACUCGAUAUAGUCACUACGAAGAUGUAGUGAUGCCCUUCGGUCGGACCAUUUUAUUUGGUCAUGUAGUAAUCAAAGAAGGCAUGUUACAUUAUGAAACGCGUAUCCUGAAGUACAUAGAACUAUUCGAAAUCCUCGUGAGGAUCGAUCUCGUAAGCUUGCAAACUUCGACUACCCUCAGAACUUAGCAGCAUCCAUCCAAUAUUCCACGUCUCUGUCCUUAAGAAGUGCCUACCCGAUGAAACCCUAGUAAUUCCUUUGAUGAGACCGAAAUCAACGAAAGUCUCAACCCCAUGGUAAAACCAAUUGAAAUCAUAGAUCGAGAGAUUUAACGUAUGAAACAAGCCAUAUCCCGUUAAGUUAAAGGUUCCCUGGAAUGUCAUGCGAGGAUCCGAAUUCACUUGGGAGCGUGAUGAUCCGAUGAAACAGAAGUGUCCGUAUUCUCUUUCCAAAUGCGCGAGUUGCAUCUAAAGUUUGAAUUUCGGGACGAAAUUCCCUCUAGCGGGGGGAUAAUGUGACAACCAGAAGUUUGCUCCAUCGCCGUAACCCGUUUCCGUCCUUAAAAUUCAUCUUUUUCGAAUUGUUUCCGUUUAAGCUUUUCAAUUAAGGCAUUAUUUUUGAGACUUCUAUUAUGACUUAAUUCAUAUCGAAACACGUUAGAAACUCAUGAAAACGCCCCAAAUUAUUAUUUGGAAAAAUUUUAGUUUUAUUCCGUCGAGCUAUAAAACAAUUAAAUCGGGUACAACCAAAAGCCUUACAUAACAUCAGUAUCGGGUAAAAUUCCACCGUGUCCCAAACUUUAAGCAUAUAUAAAGUUGAGAGAGCCUCAUUUAAAGCCUUUUCCACUCUCUCUCUACUCUCUCUAUAACCUCUCUCCUCAAGUCCAAGUUCUUGAUCCAAAAUCACUCAUUUCAAGCUCCAAAUCUUCAAGGUAACUAUCCUAGCUCCUAGUAUGUCAUCUCUAGCUUUCAAAUUCGUGGAUAAUCUAUGAAAUAGGACCAUUGGCAUGAGUUUAAGGUCCUAGAAUAGCCCUAGGCCGUGAACUCACAUAAAAGGGGGUUUUGAGCCUUAAAACCCUCCCAAAUCACUCUUGGAGCUUGGAAAUGACCUAAGGACUUAUUUGCAUGGACGUAGAACACCUUGGAAUCUUCACAUAGGGUGUAAACAUGAGUUUACGGCCCAAGCACAUUCUUGGACCGUAAACAUCUAUUCAUGGGGAGUAAACUCAAUUUAAAGUGUUAAGAUUAUACUUAAACACACCAUAAGCCUUGGAAUAAAGUCUAGAAGCAACCACAAUCAAGGUAAGGACCUUAAACAUGCUAAAACUACCUACAUAGGAGCUUACGGCCGUAAACGCCACAUGAAUAUCUUCUUAGGCCGUAAACUCCUAAAACAUAGUCAAAUGAUGCCUUAAAUUCAUUCCAUGGCUUGUAGAUUUAGCUAGAAACACUUGUAAUGACCUAGGACCACCAAAACAUCAAAGAAGGUGUGUGGAGGAGCUUACGGCCGUAAACUCUUAGUUUACUUCCAUAAACUCCAUUAGAUGGUCCAUAUGUUGGUUUAAUCCAUUCCUAUACCCUAGAUUUGAUCCUAGCUAAUUUUCCCAAAUGAUAUAAGGCAUUUUAGCACCCUAGACACCCCACCAUGAGUUUACGGCCGUAAACUAAUGUGGAGUGGGUCAUUAGGGCCGUAAACCCUCUUAUGAGUUCACUCAUGAAGAGUAAACUCCAUAUCCAAGCCAUAUAUGUCCUUAGAUGUCACCCGGAUCACUCCAAACACUUAUUUUGAAGUGUUUUCGCGUCUUGCAGUGUAUAAUCUUAUCUAAUUAUUGGUUCAAAGUAUAAUUAGAUACAAUUGUGUAUCAUUUCAUAUUACAUAGGAACCUCGCGCGUUUUCAAGCCUUGAGCUGACGUUUAUCAUCCAAACUGACACAUUUCGCGAUUGGUGAGUUCAUACCCCUACCCUUUUUCAAUGUUUUUCAAUGUUUUCAUGGGGGAAUACAAGCAAAAGUACAAGGAAAUCUUGUGCUCAAACUUAUGAUUUCAUUUGAUCUAUUUCAUAUUUCGUAUGCUUUUAACACGGAAAACUGUAUUAACCAACCGUUCAACUUGCAUAGUAAACCGUCAAGUUAUUUGUGAAACUCGUUUUAAAAUGUUAUAUUUUAUAUUUCACAAAUAAAUUUCCAUAUCAUUAUUGUUCAAAGCAUGAAUCUUAAAACUUUAAAAAUGUUCUUGAUAUAACUCCCUUUAGAUACGAAAGUGUAGGAAUAAUAACAUUAAACUUAGAACUUUACCACUCCCCCUAGAUACAAGAGUGCAGGAAUAAUAACAUUAAACUUAGAACUUUACCACUCCUCGUAGAUACAAGAGUGCAGGAAUAAAAACAUUAAGACUUAGAACUUAACCAUUCCCCGUAGAUACGAGAGUGAAGGAAUAAUAACAUUAAACGUAAAAUCUUACCACUCCCCCUAUUUACAAGAGUGGUGGAAUAGUAACAUUAAACAUAGAACUUUAGACAAGUCCUUGAUAAUACUCCCCCUAUAUACGAGAGUGAAGGACUAAUUAAUCAGAAUUUCCCGUUUUAUUGUCUUUUAGUUCAUUAAUCUUAAUAUUGGAGACACGUCCUUGUAACACUCCCCCUAUUUACGAGAGUGUAGGACUACCCCUGUAACUAGAAUCUCUUGGAGGGAGAACGUGACUUGAGUGUAUAGAUCUAUACGGGAUUGACAACCCCGCACCUGGCUGCUUGCUACAGUGGAACCGAAAGGUUCAAGGGUGACAAAAGUCAUAAAAAGAUAUUGGCCCUGAUUCAAGCUUUAUCCGGUCUAUAGUAUGGUUACGGAACUCGCAAUUUAGAUUAUGAAUACUUUUAAACUUACCUAUUAGAUUUAUAUAUACGUGUUAAAACUAAUGUACUUUACUAGGAUAAACAGGUUUUCAGGAAACAUCACACAAACACAUAAAGUAUGGUAGACACUUGUACAUUACUUUCAGAAACCGAUAACAAACUACACACUUUUAGGAAAAUAAGGGUUUUUCCUGGGAUAACUGAACUGUACUUAACUAGACCGUGUAACUAAUGGAUAACUAAACUUUACUUUUAGGAAAAUAAGGGUUUUUCCUAGGUUAACAAACUGUACAUAACCAGAUCGUAUAACAAAUGGAUAACUAAACUAUACUUAUAAGAAAAUAUGGGAUUUUCUUGGAUAACAAACUUUUUCGAAAAACCAAAGGAAACUUGUAGAUUUUCAGAAAACAAACCUCUUAUGAACUCACCAGCUUUAUGCUGAUUUUCAAACUGCUUGUAUUCUCAGGUCCACAUUAGACAGGUACCCAAUGAUCCUUUUGGCGAAGACGGAGGGUAGAAGUCGCGUCUUUACUUUUGUGCAUAUGAUAUAUAUGUAUGACACUUGUAACACUUUGAUUUCAAACAAAUGUAAUAACUCUAUGUAAUGUAUUGUUUCGUGUUUACUAUGCUUACUAUGUACAUUGGUUGCGAUAUUCAUGACGUCCUCCGCCCCGGAACAUUUCCGCCUUCGGUUUCGGGGUGUGACAGAUUGGUAUUAGAGCCCUUGUUUAUAGUGAACUAGUAUACCAAACCUUACAUGGUAUAAGUCUAUAAACACUAAGGGGCCUAUGUGCUCUCAACUAAAAGUAUACCUUAAAAUAUAAGUAUUUUCAAAAGUAUACAACUAUACCUAACCGUCGAAAUCUGUAAUUACAAGUAGAACAAAACAUAAGUAAAUGGGUGUUGUACGCUGCAGUUAAACCUAGGCAGUUAUGUAGUCGUGUCUAGGAUCAGUAUAGUCUAGCCAACUAUAUUCAUUCGAGACACGGCCAACAUGUGCUUGGGAAUGACUGUGGUGCGCGCCAUGCCUAAAACUUACCCAAAUACCCAAACAACGAGCCGUCGUUGCAGCGUGACAUGAAAUUCUAUGGGAGUAUUUAUCAAGCCAAAUCCGUUAUAGAAAUCCUCAUUCCAGCGUUGCUCCUCAAUCUUUCCUUUAGCGAUAGUUGAUCUGCUUUGAUAACUCUUUCCUGCAUUAUCGCUUAAUAGAAUGAUAUAUCUGUCUUAAUGAGAUAUCCCAUGUUCCAUAUCUCUUGAUUCAAUUCAGAGGACUUAUGAUCCUCUCUUUCCUGAUCUUUUUAGAUCAAGAUGCCUCCAACAAAGAGACCCAGCUCAAACAACAACAACCCUUCACCACCAUCUCCUUCCUAAUUUGAUCCCGUAAGGUUCCAGACAGCUGUUACUGCCACAGUGGCAGCUGCCAUGUCUCAAAUGAACCCCAGUGGUUCAGAAGGUGGUCCUUAGCCCCAAAACCAAGAAGAUAGCCAGGGACACCGGAAGGAGUGUUCCUAUAAGGACUUUAUGAACGCGAAACCGAUAUCCUUCGAUGGCACUGGAGGUGUCAUUUCCCUAACCCGAUGGUUCGAGAAAAUCGAAUCUAUUUUCGAAAUUUGUGCCUGCUCUGAAUUGGACAAGGUGAAGUUCGCUGCCUGGAUGUUCACUGAUAAAGCCCUGACUUGGUGGAACGGCCGAGUGAAAUCCCUAACCCUACCUAUAGCCAAUGCCAUGGGUAGAGAGGCCAUGAAGGAACUUCUGCUUGCAGAGUACCGCCCUCGGGGCGAAAUGCAAAAGCUAGAACAUGAACUAUGGAGCCUGAAGAUGAAGGGUUCCGAUAUCGCCGCUUACACUUCAAGAUUCGAUGACUUGGCGCUACUCUGUCCGAGAAUUGUUACCCCGAAGAGUAAAAAGAUUGAGAGGUUCAUCUGGGGGCUGACCCAGCCAACCAAGGGAAAUGUCUUAGCUGCGAAGCCAGACACCUAUGACAGCGCCAAAUGCCUAGCGCAAACCCUGAUCGACCAUAGCGAUUGCCUAGAGGAAGCAGCCACCACUCCUGAGCCGACAGAGAGGAGUGGUGAGAAAAGAAAAUCUUGAAAAAAGAAGAAGAGUCAGCUUUCUCAGGAGUCCUCGAAGAAGCAGCAAACGGUGGCAAUUUGCGCUGCUACUGUCUCUGCCGUCGGAUCCACAGCUCAAACUCCUACCAGUAGGUAUGCUGGUACCCUCCCUCCGUGUAACAAGUGCAACUAUCAUCACCUCACUUCCAGCCCAUGUCGAGAGAUGUUUUGUAACAGUUGUGGUAAAAAGGGUCACACUGCAAAAAAUUGUAAGACACCAACCCAAUCAACCAAUCAAGCUUCCGGAUCGGGAAUCAGUCCGGCCUGCUACGGUUGCAGCGAAGUCGGGCAUUUCAAGUGAAACUGCCCCAAGACAGCAACAACUGGCAACACUGGAAGAGUCCUAGCUAUGGGACAAGUUGAGGCAGCCACCGAUCCCACCGUUGCCACAGGUAUAUUCCUCUUCGACAACCCUUAUGCUUGCAAUCCAUUUCAAUUCUAGUAUUGAAAGAUAAUCUGUUAGUUAUUCAUUCAAACAUCUUCAUAAACAUAGUCCUCAACUAGUAACUGAAACGUUUACCGUCGAGAUAGCUAGCGGUGAGAAAGAGAGCAUCAGCGAUAAACUUAGUUUCAACCUUCGCGUCGUUUCAUACAUCAAAGCUCAAAAGGCUUCUCCGAAGGGGGUGCGAUAAAUUCCUAGUCUAUGUGACCAUAUAGAAACAGGAAGUUGCAUCCCCGAAGUCAACAAUUUUCCUGAUGUCUUUCCGAAGAGCUCCCGGAAAUUCCUCCCGAACGCCAAUUAGAAUUUCGCAUCAACCAAUUUCAGAGAGCCAGCUACUUCUCACAGAUAGAACUUAGGUCAAGGGACCAUCAGCUACGAGCUCAAUGGAAUGAUGUUUCCACAACAGCAUUCAGGACACGAUAUAGUCAAUACGAAGAUGUAGUGAUGCCCUUCGGUCUGACCAUUUUCUUUGGUCAUGUAGUAAUCAAAGAAGGCAUGUUACAUUAUGAAAUGCGUAUCCCGAAGUACAUAGAACUUUUCGAUAUCCUCGUGAGGAUCGAUCCCGUAAGCUUGCAAACUCCGACUACCCUCAGAACUUAGCAGCAUCCAUCCAGUAUUCCACGUCUCUGUCCUUAAGAAUUGCCUACCCGAUGAAAUCCUAGUAAUUCCUUUGAUGAGACCGAAAUCAACGAACGUCUCAACCCCACGGUAAAACCAAUUGAAAUCAUAGAUCGAGAGAUUUAACGUAUGAAACAAGCCAUAUCCCGUUAAUUUAAAGGUUCCCUGGAAUGUCAUGCGAGGAUCCGAAUUCACUUGGGAACGUAAUGAUCCGAUGAAACAGAAGUGUCCGUAUUCUCUUUCCAAAUCCGCGAGUCGCAUCUAAAUUUUGAAUUUCGGGACGAAAUUCCCUCUAACGGGGGGAUAAUGUGACAACCCGAAGUUUGCUCCAUCGCCGUAACCCGUUUUCGUCCUUAAAAUUCAUCUUUUUUGAAUUGUUUCCGUUUAAGCUUUUAAAUUAAGGCAUUAUUUUUGAGACUUCUAUUAUUACUUAAUUAGUAUCGAAACACGUUAGAAACUCAUGAAAACGCCCCAAAUUAUUAUUUGGAAAAAUUUUAGUUUUAUUCCGUCGAGCUAUAAAACAAUUAAAUCGGGUACAACCAAAAGCCUCACAUAACAUCAGUAUAGGGUAGAAUUCCACCAUGUCCCAAACUUUAAGCAUAUAUAAAGUUGAGAGAGCCUCAUUUGAAUCCUUUUCCACUCUCUCUCUACUCUCUCUAUAACCUCUUUCCUCAAGUCCAAGUUGUUGAUCCAAAAUCACUCAUUUCAAGCUCCAAAUCUUCAAGGUGACUAUCCUAGCUCCUAGUAUGUCAUCUUUAGCUUUCAAAUUCGUGGAUAAUCUAUGAAAUAGGACCAUUGGCAUGAGUUUAAGGUCCUAGAAUAGCCCUAGGCCGUGAACUCACAUAAAAGGGGGUUUUGAGCCUUAAAACCCUCCAAAAUCACUCUUGGAGCUUGGAAAUGACCUAAGGACUUAUUUGCAUGGACUUAGAACACCUUGAAAUCUUCACUUAGGGUGUAAACAUGAGUUUAUGGCCCAAGCACAUGCUUGGACCGUAAACACCUAUUCAUGGGGAGUAAACUCAAUUUAAUGUGUUAAGAUGCCACUUAAACACACCAUAAGCCUUGGAAUAAUGUCUAGAAGCAACCACAAUCAAGGUAAGGACCUUAUGUUGGGUUUUGAGCAUUCUAACACUUCCUAAGUGUACAUGCAACCCUAAAUACCUUGGAUCUAUGUUUUCUCUAUUAUACAUGCAAAUAAGAACUUCCAAGGUAUUAUCCUAAUCUAGCAUACAAAACAAUGACUAUAACAAGAUAGAAUACAUACCUCUUUGAUGUAGAAAGUCUUCAUGAAGCUUGAGUGCCUAGUGCCCCAAGUGUGACACCUCAAAUGGAAUCACAAUCAUCAAAACACUUGGAAUGACUUGAGAGAAUUCUACACUCUUCAAAAUCGGCUAGCCCUUUCUUCACUAUCACUAGUGGCCGAUUUUUCCUCAAUAAUAAGAUGCUUAUAUAGUUACACAAUUAGGGUAAACUCUUAAUUGUCAUGGCUUUCCAUUUCCUUGGAUCCAUGGGUACAAAUACACCAUGGAGCAUCCAUGGACCAUCCUAUGGGUUUUAGCCCAACUUGAUUAUCCAUGGAGCAUUAGCCCACUAUACAAGUAUGGAUGAUUUACACAAUCAACCCAUAUAUUUAAUUAGUCUUCUUUUGAUCACUUAAUUAAUCCUAGAUUAAUUCUUGAUCAAUACUAAUUAAAUAAUCUUAUUAUUCUUAUUAUUAAUAUACUAGAACUUAUAAUAUAUUAAUAACCAUAAGUGUCUUAUUUCUCUCAUUAUAGUCUAUCCAAGUGCAUGAUGGUAUGCAACCCAAAUGGACCAUGCCGGGUCGGGUCAAGUCUUACCAAUUAUAGUUAUGGACUUAGACAUUAAUCCAACAGUCUCCCACUUGGAUAAGUCUAAAACUAUUAUUGCGUAUGACUUCAGGAACCAACUGGCAAUCGUAGCUCUCAAAAGCUUCUGUCGAACUCUGACCUUGUAGAUGAACUCUGACCUUUGUCAAUGACUUGUCCAUUAGAUAAGGGAUCAUAUAUUCCUCCAUUCUAGAUAUCAUAUGGACUGAGACAUGGAUUAUAAUCAUUCUCUCUGUCCAUUUGUUGUUUCCCGAUUUCCGAUUUAUGACGACUGACUAAUUGAACAAAUCAAAUCAGUCCUGGCCCGGCCGAGCACUUCCAUUUGUCAUCAUCAAAUCAUCGAGGGGCCCACAGAUAUCGCUUUUAUCCCGAAGGUAAAAGGAAUGGAUAAACUUCGACUCAUAUGGCUUGUUCUACUACUUGUUGAAUCAUACACAAAGGCACGUUUUAUAGCACCGAGUUACCAAAUGCGUUUUCGUGCAAUCAAUGUACUAUCAACUCAUAGUAACAACUCAUAUCUCUAGGUUUGAAGAAUAUAAGAUAUUAUCGUCUCAUGAUCACUCGUGAUAAAAUCCAUGAAGUGAUUCCAAUGAGCGCGGGUUGAAUCCAAUACUCAGAACUUAUGAGCACUCAUGAGUGUUGUAGCCCUUUGUCCAACACCUUAGACCUCUACAAGCCAACCCAUGACAGUCUUAAUUCAUAUCUACUUCCAACAUAUGACCGACUGUGGAUGGUUUGAAUAACUUAGUCAUUCCGGAAGAAUAACCCAGUUUAUUCGGGAAGUCAAAACAUGCAAAAUGAAACACAAUAAUAAUUGAAUCCAAUAUGGUAUCAACCCUUUGAACAUAAAUAAAACACCUUUUAUUUAUCACCAUAUGAUUACACAUUAUUCAUUGUAUACUGUUUCAGCUAUCAACUUUAUUCUUGAAUUUAAAACAAUAGUUGUCCCAUGCUCCAAGCAUGUACACUAUGUUUUCUUAAACACUAGUCAUGCCACACACCAAGUAUGCAUACUAUGUUUGUCUAUGAUCUUUACUUUGUGAACUAGAUCAAUUGAACAUAACUUCAAUGAUUCUCUUUUCACACUCCCAAAUCCUUACUGCAAAUGCAAGAAUUCCAAAUUCAUGCCAUUUACUGAAAUCUGUUAGAUUCUAAACUUAUAUGCAUUGAUCCUCUUGUAAUGAUUAUGCACAAAGUCACAAAGACUUGGCAACAAUCAUUACAGAGUAUUCCAAAGGAGAUCAACUCCUUGGAAAUAUCCUUCUUGCAUUAAGUUUCCUUAAUCUUACACAGAUUGAAAAUUCUAACUUUGAAACAUUUCCAGAUUCCAUUUUGACUAUCACUUCUGAACAAGAGUUGCCUCCUUACAGAUUAUGUCAAUAUGGUCCUUCCAGAAUUAUCACUAUACUUCCAAUUGUCCUUGAGUAACCAAUCUUUGGUAAACCUUAGAUUGUCCUCGACAAUUGUUUAAUCCUUUUAGUCAUAUCCAGUUCUAAACCUUUUCCCUUCUUAAUGCCCCAGGCAUUUGGAAAAUUUUAGAACGGAUGAAUAUAGCACAUGUAAUCGAUCCUAUAUCCGAAGCAUAUGGGACACGAUUCAUGAUGUCUUACAUAAAGACUAAACCAGUCUUUUGCUAUAAUAUUUCCAUUUCAAUUUGCCAAGUUCUCAUAAUUCAGAUUAUGAAAAGGGAUGCCGUAAUCAUAAUCGAAUUUUAGAACGCAAAUAAUGGACCCAUAUACAGAAUUUCCUUAUGUUGAGCCAUUCCAACAUGAAAUUCAUAUAUAUCCUUGACUAAAUGAUUAAAACCUCACGAUCUAAGCUUAUAGAUUUGAGAUGAAGCAUAAUUUCCUCUCCCUUAAUUAUAGCAAAACAACUUUUUCCCAAUUGAAACUUUUGUUUUCUAUAAUUAACAUUGCUAACUUGCAAUACUUAUCAUAAUUAUCAUGCUCCCACUAACAUGAUGAUUAUUAGCAUAACACUUAUGCUCCCACUAGCUUUGACAUGUACUCAGAAAUCAGCUGGACAGUCUGAAAUUUAGAUUCAUACACCCUUUCCGUAGAUAGCUCACCUGUGUGUCUAAGCAAUUUCAAGAACCAUGAAAAGGGAUACCGUAAUCAUGGUCUCAAUUGCUUAGGCAUUUGCCAUUUCUCACAAGUCCAUGUUAGUGUGCCGGUUAACCACACGCGCUCCACUAACGACUUUUGAAAAUGCAAAUAACACAAUUGAUAUCUUCGUAAAAUCUACUUAGUGAAAGCGUUUCCUCACCAUCAUUUUCAUGAAUCGGAGAGAAACCUUAUGACACUUAGAUUUAUAUGGUGUAUGAGUUCCUACCCAUAUGAAUUUGUCAAACCAUAAUCACAAGACAAAGAUAAUGACAAAUCCAAAACCAUAUGGAUUGAACUCAAUCUUAACUUCUUGCCACCUGGCAGCUCAAGGGCCUGCCAUUGCUUCCAAGUUGUUAUGCAACAAACUGAGAACUCUAAGAACUCAUAUGCAAAGCCAACUUUAACUGGAAUGGGCACAGAUAUGUCAACACGAUAGGUUAUAAACCUCAAGUCGUGUGCUAGUGAAGAACUUUAGGUUUUAUUCUUGAUUAUUUCUUGAGACUUUCAAGACCUUUAAGACUCCCACUGUCCUCUUGACAUAUAAGACUCCCUUGUCAAACAUCCAAGAGAUAGUGCGGAUUCUAAUCAAGAAAAACACUUUACCCAAUUGGCCUAAGUUGGUCUUUGUUUUAUCCAAAACAUCACAACUUACCAAUUUCAAAUGUACAAGAGUAGAAAACUUUUACUCUUACAUUUGACAAGUGUUUUAAACCUUCUUUAAGACAUGUCACUCAAAUGACAAUCUUGGAGUAUGACUCUAAGACUUGUAUUGGAACGAAGUAUGACUCAUCUUCUUGAUUUAACCAUUUCAACAAUUCAAGUUCCUCUUCUUAGUCAUAAGAAUGCACUAAGAUUUCCUUAGAGAACUAAUUUUGAUAUGGUUUCUUAAUCAUUAAGAUGAUCACAAAACUGAUACUAAAGUACUCUCCCAUCUUUUCAGAUUUGAGAAACUUUUAUCCUUCUGCCUUAUUUGAUUCUUCUUAUCGAUCUUUAGUGGUGGACUUAAUCAGUGCACAAGAAUGUGUACUCGAUCCCUAAGUCCUUUACUUGACUCACACAUCCAUGUGAACAAGUAAUUAGUCUUAAUUUUCCAAAACUUGAAAGUUCUCAUUCAUCAUGCUAUACAACUUGCAUGAUUCCAAGUUCCGGUCCAAUUGAAACUUGGGUGAUGAGAAUCUUUCCUUAUUUGGUAAAUUUAGACAUUACCACAAAUGAAAGAAUCAAUUUCAUAUUUCCACUCUUGCUCUUAAUGGAAUCAUAUAAGCAACAAUUUUUCCUCAAAUGCCAUUGUAAGGAUAUUUUAAAAUAAAUAAAAUCAAAAAAAUUUUCUUUUAUUUUAAAACUUUGCGGAAAAACUUAUCCUUACAAUCCAUAUGAAAACUUGUUGUUAUCUAUUCCUAAGCAAUAUCUCAUAACUCCUAAGAAGUAGCUCAAGAAUCCGAUCUUCAAACUAUGCGAUAGAAAUCCAUCUACGCCAUCAGAUUCAGCAUAUUCUUUCUUUAAGUUUCUUCACUUUUCUUUGAUUCUUAAAACAUCACCAUGUGACCCAGUCACAUCAUGUAUCAAGAAUCUCAGAAUAGAAACUUAACAGAGUUAGAUAGUGGACUUUACCUGAAGUAGAGUCAAACUUAUUGACUUUAACAUCCUUAGGUAAAUUUGGCAGCUUCGCAACCAAUGCCCCUUCCUUUGGCAAUAUAAACAUAUGGACCCUUUGAUAAUGGUACACGGGACUAUCACAGACUUAGCUUUUCUCUUUACCAUUUGGUCAACCGAGUUGACUAUGGCCGAUCCCUUUCCAUUGGGAAGAGAAUGCUUUACUGGAUAUCCAAUGUCAUCAUUGUCAAUGUCCAUAAAGUUUUAGGAAGUUGAUCUUAGCAAAUAGAUAAGAUCAUUAAGGGUCUUGUCAUAGUCUGUUUCAUAGGUGUCCCAAAGGAACUCACUAUGUGACUUAGAAAGUGGUUGAACCACCAACUUUCUCAAGACUUUGACACCCAACUCUCCCGGCUUGUCAAUAUGUGACUACAUCUCCAAGAUGUGACCACACCUAGACCUUGCCUUGCCAAUAGGGCCUGAGUGACCUUAAACUUUUCAAGAACUUGUGGGUUAGGGAGAAUAAUUUGAAGAGGUGAAGAAGUAUGAUAUCCAUGGGACAUCAUCUUCAUUAGGAAACCUUGUUUCAAGAGAUUUGGGAAGAUCAUAGGUGUCUAAACCAGACAUCUUUUGGGAGAUAUUCAAGAUAGUUGAUUUAAAGUCCUUAAUAUGACACCCAAUAUGAAAUAUUAAGGCUAGGACCCAACAAACUAUUUUAUAACUUAGAAGAGGUAUGCCGUAAUCCAAGCUAUAAAAUAUUUGAAGGUAGGUGAAUGACGAUUCACCAAUUUCCACCAAGAUAAACGAAAUGUAUUAUUAGGUUUUAAUUGGUUUUGAAACUCCUAGAUCUUUGAGAUUCAUUGAACUUUUCAAAGGCAUGUUUCAAUCUCGAGUGUGCCCUUCAGGUUUUGUGACUGGGAUGCCGAGGAUCACAAAACAAGGUGUGAAGUAACCAUGCAAAUCACUUGGUACCCUUAAUAAAUUACCCCUCAAUCGAUGUGCCGGUUAACCACACACGCUCCAUCGAUACUAUGAUAAAUAUUAAGUCACCCUUUACCUACCUUGUUAAGUCCAAGUUAGUGUGCCGGUUAACCACACACGCUCCACUAACGACUUAGACAAAGUGUAAAGUGUAAUUUCAUGGAUUAGCACCUUAUUCACAUUUUUCCUAAGUAACUAAGAUUGGGUAUUAUUAAGAGUUUAGUUACUUAGUAUUAUCAUUAAUACUUUUAAUGAAGGGAGAAUUCUAGUCCUGUCAAACCCGUUCGGCUAACGACCCUCCACCAGUCAAGCAAGCGGUGGGUGAGAGUGGACACCCAUUAAGUUGCCAUUUUAUAGGCAACAACCUUAUACCCACCUUAUAGACCGGCUUCGUGAAUGAGGCGUACUAGCGGUAAGACUGACUUUACUCUUAUACAUAUAUAUAUUAUUAACUUAUAAUAUUAUAAAGUAUAAGGGUUGAAUUUUAACUUUUAAAAUUCUAAGGGCUAACUUGGAAUUAAAGUAUUCAUAAGUGAAAACUUUACAAAUUCCAAAACUUGAGGGCAAGUUUUGAAACUAUUCAAAACUAAUUAAUUCCAUAACUUAUGUGUUUAAAGUAGUUUUAAUCCAAAAACUCUUCAAGUUCCAUAACUUGAGGACAAGUUAUGGAAGACUUUAAACUAAUAAAAGAAUUAACUUUUCUUUAUUUUAUAACUUAUGGAAUUAAUUAAGGUUACACCUUUUUUUAUUUUAUUUUAUUUUAUUAAAUGAAGAGACUCUUGGUCCUCCAUAACUUGAGGACAAGUUAUGGAGUCAUAAAACCAUUUAAUUAGAACUAGACUCUUCAUUUUUGUAACCUUUGCCAAUUUUUAUGAGUUUUAUGAUUCUUAAAUGUGACUUUUCAUAUAACUUGAGGACAAGUUACAAAAACACAUUUUAGAAUCAAUUCUUAGAUUAAUUUGGAUUAAAACCAACUAUCACAUAAUUUUAUUCAUUAAUCUAAAUUCACUCAUAAAACAAGGUAACACAAAAAACUUUUGGUGAUCCAUAACUUAUUCUUAAGUUAUGGAAUCCUUUAAAACAUUAACACCAAAUUUUGUAACUCAAAAAAAACUUUGAAUUAAUUUUUUUUUUAAAACCUUUUCAUAUCCAUAACUUAUGGAGGUUUCAAAAAAUAAAACUCUUUAGAUCAAACUUUUAAAACUAAUAAAAUAAUCAUAUUAUUUUAUCUUUUAUUAAAUUUGACCUAAUUCAACUCAUAAAGCAAAUUAUUCAAAUUUUACAAAUAAUUAGUUUUUCACAAGAACAAGUAAUUAUUUUAAAAUUUGACAAACUUCAUAUUUUUUUUUUUUUUUUUUUUUUUUCAACUUUGAAAAUAAAAUAUUUGCAUCAAUAUAACAGAAAACAACCCGUGGCUCUGAUACCACUGUUGGGUUUUGAGCAUUCUAACACUUCCUAAGUGUACAUGCAACCCUAAAUACCUUGGAUCUAUGUUUUCUCUAUUAUACAUGCAAAUAAGAACAUCCAAGGUAUUAUCCUAAUCUAGCAUACAAAAACUAUGAAUGUAACAAGAUAGAAUACAUACCUCUUGAUGUAGCUUGAUGUCUUCAAGCUUUAAGAGCUUAGCCCCAAUAGUGUGGAAGCCUCAAGUGGAAUCACAAAUCACCAAGACACCUUGGAAUACUUUAGAGAAUAUGAUUACUUGGUUCUCUCUAGUGAAAUUGGCUAGCCCUUCUUUAGUGUAUCCACACUAGUGCCAAUUUCACCAACCAAAGACAUCUUUAUAUAGUAUGGAGGAUUAGGGUUAAACCCUAAUACCCAUGACCUUUCAUUUCCUAGGAUCCAUGGGUUAAACACUCCAUGGACUAUCCAUGAAAGCUUAGCCCAACCUAAAUGAACUUGGCCCAUUCCAUAUAUAUAAGAGUCCAUAUUUAAUUAGUUCCUUUUGAUCACUUAAUUAAUUAUAAAUUAAUUCUUGAUCAAUACUAAUUAAAUAAUAUGAUUCCAUAUUAAUAUAUUAGAACUUAUAAUAUAUUAAUAUUAAUCAUAAACAUACUAUUCUCAAAAGAUUAUCCAUAUAAAUUGUGUCGGUGAAGUGCAACCCAAAUGGACCAUGCCGGGUCGGGUCAAGUACAUACCAAAUAUAGUUAUGGACUUAGACAUUAAUCCAACACCUUAAACAUUCUAAAACUACCUCCAUAUGAGCUUACGGACGUAAACGCCCCAUGAAUGUCUUCUUAGGCCGUAAACUCCUAAAACUUAGUCAAAUGGUGCCUUAAAUUCAUUCCAUGGCUUGUAGAUUUAGCUAGAAACACUUGUAAUGACCUAGGACCACCAAAACAUCAAAGGAAAGUGUGUGGAGGAGCUUAUGGCCGUAAACUCUUAGUUUACUUCCGUAAACUCCAUUAGAUGGUCCAUAUGUUGGUUUAAUCCAUUCCUAUACCCUAGAUUUGAUCCUAGCUAAUUUUCCCAAAUGAUAUAAGGCCAUUUAGCACCCUAGAACACCCCGCCAUGAGUUUACGGCCGUAAACUCAUGGGGACUGGGUCAUUAGGCUCAUAAAUCCUCUUAUGAGUUUACUCUUGAAGAGUAAACUCCAUAUCCAAGCCAUAUAUGUCCUUAGAUGUCACCCGGGUCACUCCAAACACUUAUUUUGAAGUGUUUUCGCAUCUUGGAGUGUAUAAUCUUAUAUAAUUAGUGGUUCAAAGUCUAAUUAGAUACAAAUGUGUAUCAUUUCAUAUUACAUAGGAACGUCGCACGUUUUCAAGCCUUGAACUGACGUUUAGCAUCCAAACUGACACAUUCCGCGAUUGGUGAGUUCAUACCCCUACCCUUUUUCAAUGUUUUUCAAUGUUUUCAGGGGGGAAUACAAGCAAAAGUACAAGGAAAUCUUGUACUCAAACUUAUGAUUUCAUUUGAUCUAUUUCAUAUUUCGUAUGCUUUUAACAUGGAAAACUGUAUUAACCAACCGUUCAACUUGCAUAGUAAACCGUCAUGUUAUUUGUGAAACUCGUUUUAAAAUGUUAUAUUUUAUAUUUCACAAAUAAAUUUCCAUAUCAUUAUUGUUAAAAGCAUGAAUCUUAAAACUUUAAAACUGUUCUUGAUAUAACUCCCCUUAGAUACGCGAGUGUAGGAAUAAUAACAUUAAACUUAGAACUUUACCACUCCCCAUAGAUACGAGAGUGCAUGAAUAAUAACAUUAAACUUAGAAUUUUACUCCUCCCCGUAGAUACGAGAGUGUAGGAAUAAAAACAUUAAAACUUAGAACUUUACCACUCCGGUAGAUACGAGAGUGAAGGAAUAAUAAUAUUAAACUUAGAAUCUUACCACUCCCCCUAUUUACGAGAGUGGUGGAAUAGUAACAUUAAACAUAGAAUUUUAGGCAAGUCCUUGAUAAUACUCCCCUAUUUACGAGAGUGAACGACUAAUUAAUCAGAAUUUCCCAUUUUAUUGUCUUUUAAUUCAUUAAUCUUAAUAUUGGAGACACGUCCUUGUAACACUCCCCCUAUUUACGAGAUUGUAGGACUACCCCCAUAACCAGAAUCAUUUGGAGGGAGAACGUGACUUGAGUGUAUAGAUCAAUACGGGAUUGACAACCCCGCACCUCGCUGCUAGCUACAGUCGAACUGAAAGUUUCAAGGGUGACAAAAGUCAAAAAAAAAGAUACUGGCCCUGUUUCGAGCUUUAUCCAGUCUAUAGUAUGGUUACGGAACUCGCAAUUUAGAUUAUGAAUACUUUUAAACUUACUUAUUAGUUUUAUAUAUACGUGUUAAAACUAAUGUACUUUACUAGGAUAAACAGGUUUUCAGGAAACAUCACACAAACACAUAAAGUGUGGUAGACAGUUGUACAUUACUUUCAGAAACCGAUAACAAACUAUACACUUUUAGGAAUACAAGAGUUUUUCCUGGGAUAACUGAACUAUACUUAACUAGACGGUGUAACUAAUGGAUAACUAAACUUUACACUUAGGAAAAUCAGGGUUUUUCCUAGGUUAACAAACUGUACAUAACCGGAUCGUAUAACAAACGGAUAACUAAACUAUACUUAUAAGAAAAUAUGGGAUUUUCUUGGAUAAAACACUUUUUUGAAAAACAAAAGGAAGCUUGUACAUUUUCAGAAAACAAACCUCUUAUGAACUCACCAGCUUUAUGCUGAUUUUCAAACUGCUUGUAUUCUCAGGUCCACAUUAGACAGGUACCCAACGAUCCUUUUGGCGAAGACGGAGCGUAGAAGUCACGUCUUUACUUUUGUACAUAUGAUAUAUAUGUAUGACACUUGUAACACUUUGAUUUCAAACAAAUGUAAUAACUCUAUGUAAUGUAUUGUUUCGUGUUUACUAUGCUUACUAUGUACAUUGGUUGCGAUAUUCAUGAUGUCCUCCGCCCCGCAACGUUUCCGCCUUCUGUUUCGGGGUGUGGCAGUUAUAAUAACCGGGAUAUAGUUAUUUUCUAUCUGUAUGUAUACAACUAUCAUAAAUUUGUUAGCAUGUUAUUGUUAUAGUAGUAUAAUAAUGUAGAUAUUGAGUUAUACUUAGGAAUCGAUAUAUAUGUUGUGUACGAUAUAGUUCCAGAGUUAUAAUCGGAAGUUUUAUAUGUUAAUUGAUAAGUAUGUUGUUAUUAUUGGUUUUAUGUCAAUAUAAAACCAGGUAUGUUGUAUGUUCUUGUUAUUGGUUUUAUGUCAAGAUAAAACCUGGUUUUAAUUCUAAUUAUAGUUGUUGUACUACCGCAAGGUGUGAUCCUUGUACUACCGCAAGGUGCAAGGUGUGAUCCUUGUACUACCGCAGUGUGUGAUCCUUGUAAUGAUAAUAAGAGGUAUAAAACUAAGUCAUACAGUCGCAUUUACGGACUCAUGGUAGCAUAACUUUAGAAGCAUUAUACUUUGUCGAUAUACAAGUAUAAAUGUUAAGUAUAAGUUUCCCAAAAACUUAUACUCUAAGUAUAAGAAUCUAGUAGGUAUAUUACUUGUACAUUAAGUAGACCACUAUACCUAUCCUACUUACUCGUAUAGAAUUGAAAUAGAUUUAUACAUAGCAGUUUUAGUCGUAUAGAAUUGAAAUAGAUUUAUACGUGCGAUUUUACUCGUAUAGAAUUGAAAUAAGAUUUAUACGUAGCAACUUAGUUUGUAUGGAAUUACAAACAUUUAUAUUCAUACUAUAUGAUUCUUAUAGGUAUAUACUUAUUUGGUAAGUAAACCAUUAUACCUAGGAUAUAUAUACUAAACACUGGAAAGUCAAAAUGAUACUUUCAAAACUAUACUUUUGAACAUGGAAAAUGUAUUAUUUUUAUAUGGAGUCAAAACCUGUUAACUCACCAACUUUAUGUUGACGUAUUUUAAAAUGCAUGUGUUUUUAGGGUGUUGAUAACUAUGAUAUGAGAAAUGACGUUACACCGCCCGGUGUUUCCGCCGAUGGUUGGGGUGUGACAGAUUGGUAUCAGAGCUAUUAACUAUAGUGAAUUAGUACUUUCUUAGGAAAGCACGGCUAUAGUUUAGGGAUUACUCUGUUAGGUUUAGGUGUAUCCUUAGCCUACAAUUUAAAGUAUUAUUAAUUAUACUACUAAAGGACUACUUACGGGAGUGGUGACAAGGAUAGACACGUCGAUUUGGGUUGUUGGAUUUUAAAACGGCUAUAUGCUAAAAUGAUCCUGCCCACCAACUGUCCUGACUGGAUGGUGCCUUAUCAGCUAGACCUGAAGUAACAAACAAUAAUUAAUAGAGCAUGAAUACAACAAAUAAUAAAUAUAGAGUCAUAUAUGAAGACUCGGACCCGCAAUGAGAAUACACCUAAAUACCCGGAAUGCUUUUGAUCUCAAGGAUUUAGAUCAGAUAUUCCAACUAAAGUUCAUAUGUGCAUAGAUCUUAUCACAACUAGGUGUAGGUGUACAACUAUAUUUUAUUAUGAUCAGAUCAUAUGAACUAUUUAAAUUAGAAGUAAUAUUUGAUUAACUAAACACUUGAUGAUCCAAAAUGUAUAGGAACUAAACAAAAUGCCUAGAAGAAGUAGCGCUCGUCUAAACCUAAACCAACGACCAGAACCAUAACAACAACAACCGCAACCACCACCACGAGAAACAAACCCUCUAAUAAGUUCAUCAUAACUUGAAGAAAUCAUAGCCCAGAGAAUCGUUGCAGCUCUUUCUAGUGUUACAAUAGGAGGAGUUAGAAAUGAAGGUAAUUUAGGGACCGCCAAAAUAUGUGCCUACAAGGAUUUUAUGAAUUGCAAACCUAAUAGCUUCCAUGGAAUGGAAGGGGUUGUUAGCUUGACCCCAUGGAUUGAAAAGACAGAAUUAAUAUUUCAAAUAAGCUUCUGUCCGGACGAAUGUAAUGUACGAUUUGCUGCGUGUACCUUUGUUGAUGCAGCACUUACAUGGUGGAACAGCCAUGUGAAUACAACGGGUAUUGAUGCUGCCAAUUCCAUGAAAUGGGAAGAGCUGAAGAGGAUGCUAGUAGAGGAGUAUUGUCCCAGGGAGGAAAUACAUAAGCUGUAACAAGAAUUGUGGACCCUAACCAUGAAGGGUUCAGAGAUAAAUGUUUAUACCGCUAGAUUCAAUGAUCUUGUGGUGAUGUGUCCGGAACAUGUAACCCCAGAAUACAAGAAGAUUGAGCGAUAUAAAUUGGUUCUAUCAUCGCAAAUCAAAGGAAUGGUGAUGGCAUCGAAGCCUACAACAUAUGACAGUGCAAAGCGUAUAGCUCAUCAGCUAACAGUACAGAAAUCCAAGUGGGAUUUAUAGCUGAGUCUCCCGAAUCUGGAAUGAACAAGCGCAAAUUUAAUGGCAAGAAUCGCAUACAAUCAUCUGAGGAAAGACAAUAUGUGGCAACUAAUUAUGCAUCCACAACAACAAUACCCAUGCAACCAAGGAAGUAUGAUCGAAAACUCCCAUGGUGCACUUAGUGUAAUCGUCAUCACCUAAGAAUUGUUCAUGGUGCAGUCAAUGUAACCAUCAGCAUGCAGGUGAUUGUUAUAUUUGCAUGAAGUGCAAAAAGAAGGGACACGUUACCAAUUACUACAGGAGCACAACAACUACAAUAGUAAAUCAAGGAACAAACAUUGGAACCGGCUAUGAUGGAGGAAGAGCAUGUUUUAAGUGUGGUGAAAUUGGACAUAUCAAGAAGGAAUGUCCAAAGUUAAGGAGUCAAGGAAGUCAGGUCGUGGUAGGUCAAUUGUAAUAGGAAGCAGGGAAGCUAUCUAGUACCCUUCAGUGGUAUCUAGUUAAAAAUAAAUUUCAGGACGAAAUAUUAUCAACGGGGGGAGAGUGUAACACUAGUCAAAAUAGGUCAAUAACAAUCACAUGUGAUUAUACCAAUCAUGUAAUGUGAUUAUGUUAAACUAGUAACGUAGUAAACUCACUAUGUAUUUCACGAUAAUUCUAAUAUAAAUAUGAACUUUCAUACAUACUUUAUGGUAUAAAUCAAAGUAUACGUCCAUACGAUUCCAAAAAUAUAGAGAACAUCUAAAUCUUACUUUGCAUGAAGAAGUUAUGAUAAACAGAACAUUGUAAAAUCUCUAUAACAUAAGGAAUUUAAAAUAGAGAAUUAGCUAUUGGAGUCUAAAAGAGAGUUGUAGUGCUCAUAAAUACCUACGCGUGGAUAUAAAGAACGUCAAAAACGGAGUUCAUAUGCAAAAGUUACAACUGUCUAAGUGCAAUACACGUGUCAGAAACCCUAAUCUGACUGGAUUUACGACGUGAGCCUAAAAACUCACGACGUGAGGAGUCAAACCGCCUCAUUUUGCAGCUAGAAGUCUACAGAAUGAUAACCCAAAAGCUCACGAUGUGAGCUAGGUUUUCUCAUGACGUGAGGACGCUUCAGGAUAAUAUUCGAGGCUAAAAAACACGCGUUAAAGUUAUGAGAUGACUCUUGCCAUAACUCACGACGUGAACCUAUCAUUUCUUACGUCGUGAGGGCCAAAAAUCUUCCUAUAAAUAGCAAGUUCAACCUCAGCCAUUCUUGCACCUGAUCUCCUUCCUCCUCUCUCCUUUGCUGAAGCCGUUUCGCUUCCCGGGCCCCGACGACCUCAUACCACUUACCGUUUCUGCUUAGAUUACAUAAAAUCACGCUGCUAAGGUUAGUUUCAUGGCCCCACUUUCUAAUAUUUUAUGGGUAAAGUGAAUGCUAAAUAUUAUAUAUACGUUAUUAUUAUGUCUAUAUGAUAGUAUAUCAUUAUCAACAUAGAUAGUUAUAAUAACCGGGAUAUAGUUAUUUCGUAUCUGUAAGUAUACAACUAUUAUAAAGUUGUUAGCAUGUUAUUGUUAUAGUAGUAUACUAAUGUAGAUCUUGCGUUAUACUUAGGAUUCUAUAUAUAUGUUGUGUAUGAUAUAGUUCCAGAGUUAUACUCAGAAGUUCUAUAUGUUAAUUGAUAAGUAUGUUGUUAUUAUUGGUUUUAUGUCAAGAUAAAACCAGGUAUGUUAUAUGUUGUUGUUAUUGGUUUUAUGUCAAGUUAAAACCUAGUUUUAAUUCUAAUUAUAGUUGUUGUACUACCGCAAGGUGUGAUCCUUCUAAUAAUAAUUAGAGGUAUAAAACUAAGUCAUACAGUCGCAGCUACAGACUCAUGGUAGCAUAACUUUAGAAGCAUUGUACUUAUUCGAUAUACAAGUAUAAAUGUUAAGUAUAAGUUUUGUAGAGUUUAUGUAUUGUAAAAGUCGAAGUGGUUGUUUCUUUUGGGUUUCGCAUAUUAGUUAUUUUACUAAGUCACAAUUUUAUGCGAAGCGUAUUGAAAUAGAUUUAGUAUAUUUUUUGUACACUCAGGUUUCCUAUAAAUAGGGACUGAGGUUAGAAGUAGAAAGAACUUUUGAACUCAAGUAUUCUUUCUGCUUAAAGCAUUGUAAUCAGUCUUCAUCAAUAUAUGAUCUGAUUAAUAUUUGCUCGUUGUGUUCUUACUUUUCUAUCAUUCAAUCAUAAUUGCUUUCAUAAUCUCGAUAACAAUUCUCUUCAAUUGGUGUCAGAGCAUGAUUCAAACUGCAUCGAUCUGAUUUUUGUGUUAGAAUCAUUUGCUUUUUGAGUAGUAACUUUACUCAAAAUUUUCCGCGCAUUUUGGUUUUGAAAAUCACUUUUGAUCUUCAGAUUUGAAUCGAUUCUGCCUUUGAAUUCUUUAGUCGAGUGAUCGAUUAGCAAUUUGUGAUCAUUUCAAUUGAUCAAUUCUCAAAUUCAUCAAGUUUUUCAAGCUUUCUGAAAUUUUCGUGUUCAUCAAUGGCGAACUUCAACAUGAAUACAAUGACUUCUUUCUCUCAUUUGCUUGGUUCUUCAACCAAAAUUCCGAUGUUAAUCCCUGAAUACUAUGAUCAAUGGGCUGAUAGAAUGGAGGAUUACCUUAAUGGAAUAGAUGAAGAACUUUGGAAUUGUAUCAAUGGAACAGUUCAUGUUCCUGCUAAUGUUCAAUCAAUUGGAUCAUCUACUACUUCUGCUGAAGUUAAUGAACAACAAAACCGUCUGAAGAAGAAUGAAAAGAGAUGCAUGAGGGAACUAAGAGGUGCUCUACCUCCUGUGAUUUACAAUUACAUCGUAGUUGUAAAACAGCUAAGGAAAUCUGGAUCACUCUAAAAGAGAAGUAUCAAGGUAGCGAAAAGACGAAGAUCAACUCUAUGAAGCAAUGUCUUGUUGAACUAAAGGAAUUCAGACAAAAGGAUGUUGAAACUCUUGAAAGUUACUAUGAUCGUCUAAAUGAGCUUGUCUAUCGUUGCAAUAGGUAUGGAGUCACUAGGUCUCUCAUGGAGUUCAAUUUAACAUUCAUCAUGGGCCUUCGCAAGGAAUGGCGAAGUGUGAGUAUGAUGAUUAAGAAUCAACAGAGUUUUGAUAUAACCAGCUUGAAUGAUCUCUACAAUCAGCUGAAAAAACACGAAAGUGAAGUUUCAGAAAUGUAUGAAGAAUCAAAACAAAGUAUUGGAGGUCCUUUGGCUCUUGUUUCAAUGGUAUCAGAAGUUGAAAUUAAUAAAAUAGAUGAUUCAUACAAUGAAGGUUUCUUAAUGAACUCUGAUGAUGAAGCUGUGGCAUUUUACUCAAACAACAGAGUUAAGAAAUUUUUCAAAAAGCCUUUUAAUCUAAAAGGAAAGGAAAAUGAUGCGAAGAAUGGAGUCGCAAAAGCUGGAGGAGAGGAGAAGAAGAAAGGGGAAAGGGAUUGUGUAUGAAAAGUCGAAGGAUGAGAAGAAAGCUGAAACAGAGGCUGAAAUGGAAAUGCUUAGGCAAGUUCAGAGCAUAAUGAGGCAAAGGGCAAGUGAUCCUCUCACAAUGAAUAAAGGAGAUCCUGCAAAGCUUUAUUCUUAUGAAACUAUAGAAUUGAAAGUGGUGGGGAGUGAGAUGCACGAGUUUGAGAAAAAGCCAAAAAGAAAUUAUGAUAUAGCCAAUUCAGACAAAUGCCAGUUGGAUUUUCCGAUUAAUGAAAUGCUUUUCAUAACGGUUCAGUACAAGAUAAGCGAGAAGUUUGAUAAUGCUGAUGACUACAUACACAUGAAAAUCAGAUCUCAUGCUGUAUUGGGAAAGAAUCCAGAUGAAGUAUGGUCCUUGAUGAAGAUUAAAAAGGUGUUGACGAUUAACAAGGAUUCGAUGUUUGAAGACACGCUUCAGAACUUUCGAUAUUUUGUCAUUCGAGCUCAUGACAAACAAUAUGACUUCACAAUAGCUGACUUUCCUAUGAUGAACUAUAAUGAUCUUAUCCAAGUGGCUCUUAUUUUGAAACAUAUGAAGGACCACAAGCUCAAAGGAUCUGAAACUGAAGUGUUUAGAAUCGGUUUCGCACAUGUCAAGACUUUUGUUGAUAACUACUAUGAUUGUUUGGCAUUAACCGAUGAAGAACUCGCAACGACCUUGAGAAGGGAAGUGAAUGUCCCCUGGGAAGAUACCUUGACCCAGUCAGCAUUAUCUAAGUAUGAUGAUGGUGAAAUAUGCCUGAAACCUUUUGGCAUGGUAUUUUCAGGGAGAUAUAUGAAGGGGAAGCCCAAGAAAUUUUUGUUCAAGGUCUCGGAAAUUGAAAGAUAUACUUCUUCUCAAUAUACAAAAUUUAUUGUUCAUAUGAAUAACUGCAAGAAGCAUAACGAAGGAGACAAGAGGGAGCUUAAGAAGGUGAUUACUUGGUAUGCUGAAGUGCGAAAGACAAUUCACUCAGCUGUUCAGAGACUUAUGGACAGAAUAGCUUCGACUGUUUACAAAGAGGGAGAUUGUAGAGUCUAUGUAUUGUAAAAGUCGAAGUGGUUGUUUCUUUUGGGUUUCGCAUAUUAGUUAUUUUACUAAGUCACAAUUUUAUGCGAGGCGUAUUGUAAUAGACUUAUUAUAUUUUUUUUACACUCAGGUUUCCUAUAAAUAGGGACUGAGGUUAGAAGUAGAAGAACUUUUGAACUCGAGUGUUCUUUCUGCUUAAAGCAUUGUAAUCAUUCUUCAUCAAUAUAAGAUCUCAUUAAUAUUUACUUGUUGUGUUCUUACUUUUCUAUCAUUCAAUCAUAAUUGCUUUCAUAAUCUCGAUAACAAUUCUCUUCAAGUUUCCCAAAAACUUAUACUCUAAGUAUAAGAAUCUAGUAGGUAUAUUACUUGUAUAUUAAUUAGACCACUAUACCUAUCCUACUUACUCGUAUAGAAUUGAAAUAUAUUUAUAUGUAGAGGUUUUACUCAUAUAGAAUUAAAGUAGAUUUAUACGUAGCAGUUUUACUUAUAUAGAAUUGAAAUAAGAUUUGUACGUAGAAACUUAGUUUGUAUGAAAUUACAAACAUUUAUAUUUAUAAUAUAUGAGACUUAUAGGUAUAUACUUAUUUGGUAAGUAAACCAUUAUACCUAGGAUAUAUAUANNNNNNNNNNNNNNNNNNNNNNNNNNNNNNNNNNNNNNNNNNNNNNNNNNNNNNNNNNNNNNNNNNNNNNNNNNNNNNNNNNNNNNNNNNNNNNNNNNNNNNNNNNNNNNNNNNNNNNNNNNNNNNNNNNNNNNNNNNNNNNNNNNNNNNNNNNNNNNNNNNNNNNNNNNNNNNNNNNUAUAUAUAUAUAUAUAUAUAUAUACACUAAACGUUGGAAAGUGAAAAUAAUACUUUCAAAACUAUAUUUUGAACUUGGAAAAUGUAUUAUUUUUAUAUGGAGUCAAAACCUGUGAACUCACCAACUUUAUGUUGACGUAUUUUAAAAUGCAUGUGCUUUCAGGAUGUUGAUAACUAUGAUACGAGAAAUGACGUUACACCGCCCGGUGUUUCCACCGACGACCGAGGUGUGACAUGUAGUCACCGUUGUAUUGUACAUAGGCAAUGUAUGAUUUAUAGGAAACUCUAUUCUAACUUGGCAGGUGUAAAAGCUUGGCUUGGUAUGAGAACUAUUUCGCUAUGAUAUACAUGGGAGAUACAAGACAUGUGCAUAAUAAGGAUCUAUGGAGAUAGAUCAAAGUGAUUCAUUGGAUUAAGCCAAAGUAUAUGUAAUGUUGAGGAAACUCGAUAUGCAGAACUCAAAAAGGAGUUUAGGCUGGCAUGACAUUGAGCAAUGCUAAUGUUCUAGUUCUACUAUUGAGCUAAAGCAAAUGAUUCGUGUCUCACAUGCUUUUGCUAUGGGAUCAAUCAUACAUGUCAUGACAUGUACCACAUCUAAUGACUUAUAUGCUUCAUGCAUCACAAGUUGGAUUAGUUUAAUUUGGCAAGAAUCAAUGAAUCAAGAUCAAGAACAUUCUUAAGUAUCCUUGGAGAACAAAAGAGAUGAUCUUGAUAGUACGGAAGAGAUCAUUGUAAGAGUUACAUUGAUGCUAAGUUCCAUACUAAUAAUGACGUUUCCAUUUGCAUUCGGAUUUCGUGCUUCUCUGAAUGGUAAAGUUUUAUCUUGGAAGAAUACAAAGUAUUACACCAUAGAGGAUUUUGCAAACUUAGAAUAUGUUGUUGUUGGUUAAAUUGCAAAGAAGACAAUGUGGCUGAAAGAGAUUCGUUAGUGACAUCUUUGUUGAAAUUCAAUCAUUGAUGGUCCUUAUGAAUUCUCUUUGUGACUUUAAGGCUCAACUUACCUCGAGUAUGGAUCCCAGGUCACACAAGCUCACAUGACAUAUACUCAGUAUGUACCAUCACAUAUAAGUUUUAAUUUGAUUUGGCGAUUAUUAAGUGGUGAUCUUAAUAUAUGAUGGGUUAGUGAUUGGACAUAGCAAAGAGAUUGCGCUAACACUCAUGAGUGCUUAAUAGAGAUUUAAGUAUUGGACCAACCCACGCUUAGAGAUUACUUCAUGGAUUCAGUCACGAGUAAUUCUAAGACGAUAAUACCUUCUAUUCUUCAAACCUAGAUACAUGUGGGGUUUUGCUCUAUGAUUCUAUUAUGCAUUGGACUACUCCAACGCUAAUCGUAACUGGUAGUCAUAAAGGGUAUGUCCAUGUGUGACAUGAUGAAAUAAACAAAAACUAUGUAGUCAAAGUUUAUUCGUUCCUUCUGCCUUAAUAGGAGAAGCGAUAUCUAUGGGCCCCUCGAUGACUUGGUGUUGACAUCUAAAGAGCUUGGUCGAGCCCUGACUGGAAUUGAUGUGUUCAAUUUAGUAGUCAGAUGCAGUCAUCACAAAUCUAUAUCGGAAACAUAAUCUUGAAUUCUUGAGAUUGACCUUUAUACAUGUCUUGAAUUCAUAUAGAUAUCAUAGAAUGAAGGGAUAGUUGAUCACUUAUCUAAGGGUUGAAUCUUGAUUAGAUCAAGAGUUCGGUAGUUGCAUUGGAUGGCUAACCCUCUGUUGAUUAUUGGAGAAAUAUUAGUCCUCAUAUAGUUGAUGACUUGUCCAAGUGGGAGACUGUUGGAAUAGCGUCCAAAGUCAUUAACUAUUGGUAAUACUUCUAAUAAUAGCAGGGUCCUUUUGGGUUGCACUUAAGACCCAAAUUGAGUAGAAUAAAUAAAGGAGAAAUUAGUUUAUUAAUUAUUAUGGUUAAUAAUUAAUUAGAAACUAAUUGGAAAUAUAUUUUGGGAAUUAAUUAACAGUUUAAUUAAUUAAAGGGUUGAAUGUUCAUUAAUCGAUAGUUGGUUAAUCAGGAAUGUUGCAGAACCUUAUGAAAUUAGGGUUGGAUGAAAAUCACUCGAUCCCACAUGGGAAAGGAGUGAAAUUUCGUGGUUAUGCUCCCAUCCCACAUGGGAAGUAGUACUAAACCUAAGGAGGCAUCCAAGACUAUAAAUAGGGCUUUAGGGAUUUCAUUCCUCCUUGCACCUUGGUUUGAAGUAUUCGCCAACCCUUCUUCCUCCCCCUCUUAGGGACGAUUUCUAACCCCUUUGGGUUUGUGAAAUUGACCAUUCUCCUAGUUAUUUUUAUUCCCUCUUUGAUGUCAUUAGGUGUGAUACCAUUAGAUGGAUUCUGGUUUGGGUCCUUUCAUCCAAGCAACUUCAUGGAGGUUCAAGAUCUCAAGCAUGGAGAUCAAGGGCAUCAUAAGAGGUAUGUUUUCUUACUUAUGUUUUAGUUUUCUAGGGUUGAUGUAAUUGGCAUGAAGCCAUAGAUCCAUAGGAUGCAUGUAUACUUAGGUAUAUCGUUGUUUCGAUUUUUCUGCUGCCUAGUUUUAGAGUGUAUUUAAUGCAUAGAAAACUCAACAAUUUAUUGACAAUAUCUUGUUUUAUUCCAAGACUCAAGAGCAGCACGAGGAGCACUUGAGGGAGACUGGACACAUUGAGGAGGGAGAGACUUUUUGCAAAGUUCCCUAAGUGCGAGUGCUGGUAGCGUGAGGUGUAGUUUCUGGGGCACCUUGUCAACCAGAAGGAUAUUCUAGUCGAUCCAGCCAAGGCCGAGGUCAUGUUGUUGUAGGAGGUUCUAAGGUCUCCAUCUGAGAUUCGGAGCUUUCUUCGUUUGGCUGGUUAUUAUCAAAUAUUCAAUCAGGAUUUCUCCAAGACCAUUGUUCUCUUGAACCGAUUGACCAAUAAGUCGAUGACAUUUCACUGGGGACCUGAUCAGCAUGCAGCAUUUGAGACUCUACGGUAGCGGUUGUGUGAGGCGCUGAUUUUGAUGAUUCCUGAGGGUGUUGAUGACUUUGUGGUUUAUUGUGAUUCUUCGAUCUUCGAUAUGGAGGCAAUAUUGAUGCAGUGGGGUGAUGUGAUAGCUUAUGCUUCGAGGCAGCUGAAGCCUCAUGAAGCGAAUUAUCUGACGCGUGCUUUGGAGUUGGGGGAUGUGGUUUUCACCCUCAAGAUUUGUCGGUAUUACCUCUAUGGGGUUCGUUGUACUAUUUACAUGGAUAACAAGAGCUUGAGGUAUUUGAUGGAUCAAUUAAAUUUGAACAUGAGGCAGCAUUGAUGGUUAAAUGUGGUGAGGGAUUAUGAUUGUGAGAUCCUUUAUUACCCGGGGAAGGCUAAUGUGGUGGCCGAUGCUCUCAGCCGCAAGGCGGUCGCGGCUCCGAUCAAAGACAUAUGUUGGAGCGGAUUCUUGAGGCUCAGGCAGAAGCUAUGAAAAAAGAGCACCGAAAAAGUGAGCGCAUUGUGGGUCAAGUGGCUUCCUUUGGUUCUGAUACACGUGGAUUGUUGACUCUGCAUUGAUGGGUGUGGAUUCCUUAUUGGGCGGUGUGCGCCAAUUUCUUAUGGAGGAGGUCCACAAGUCAAGGUUCUCCACUCAUCCAAGAGCGACGAAGAGGUAUAGGUAUCUUCGUCCUGAUUAUUGGUGGCCCUGCAUGAAGGUAGAUGUGGCAUGGUAUGUUGAGUAACGCCUGACUUCUAGAAAAGUCAAGGCCGAGCAUCAACCUCCUCACGACAAGAUGCAACCGUUGGAGAUUCACAUAUGGAAAUGGGAAGACAUCACUAUGGAUUUUAUCACGAAGCUUCCUAGGACAACACGCGUAGUGGAUUCUAUAUGGGUCAUCAUGGAUCGUUUGACCAAGAGCACGUAUUUCAUUUAAAUCAAAGAGAGUAUUUCUACAGAGAAGUUGGUCGAGAUUUAUGUCAGGGAGGUCGUGACACGUCAUAGGGUGCCGGUAUCAGUGUUUUCAGACAGGGAUGCUCGUUUUACUCUAGAUUUUGGAAGCGGUUUCAUGAUGACAUGGGCACUUGUCUACAAUUCAAUAUAGCAUUUCAUCCGCCGACUAAUGGUCAAAGUAAGCGAACUAUUCAGACUCUUGAGGAUAUGCUGCGUGCAUGCGUGUUGGAUUUUGGUGGGAGUUAGGAUACGUAGCUUCCAUUAGCGCAAUUUUUACAACAGUUAUCAUGCUAGAAUUGAUCGACCUCUUUUCGAGAUGUUCUAUAGGAGGAAAUGCAGGAUCCCGGUUUGUUGGGGUGAGGUCGGUCAGCGAGUCAUGGCGAGUACCGAGGAGAUACUCAAGACCGCUAAGCUGAUUUAGUAGGUUUGGAGCAAGCUCCAGAUAGCUCAGAUUCGACACUAGAAUUAUAUUGACAGGCACUUAUCAGAAUUGGAAUUUUAGGUGGGGGAUUUGGUUCUCCUGAAGGUGUCACCUCGGAAAGGUGUCAUCUGAUUCAGUUGUGGUAGUGUUUAGUGGAUCAUUCCACAGUUGUACCUUUGGAAGAUAUUUAGGUGGAUGACCUCCUGAAUUAUAUUGAGAGACCAGUGGCAAUUUUAGGUCGGAAGACGAGAACCUUGAGGAUCAAGGUUGAAGAGCUGGUGAAGGUGUAGUUGCUGCACCCCAAGGGGUCAAAGUGGGCUUAGGAGCCUGGGGAGGAGAUGAGGGAGCACUAUCUAGAGUUUUUCGGGGCAGCGGACUUCGAGGAAGAAAUAUGAUCCAAGUGGGGGAGAAUUGUAACACCCGAUGGUUCUAAGGUAUUACUUAUUUAAUUGUCUAAAUGAUGUAAAUUGUGUUGGGCUUAGAGUAUUGGGCCUUUAUGAGCGGGCUUAGUCGAGGUUGUACGCUAGGCAUAAGCCUGGUGUACGUGGGGUGUUAAGUCAUUGUAUGGAACGCGGAGGCAUGCAUGUAUGCGCAACGUACAAGGUGGGAUUUACAGGUUCUUGAGGCGGUAUUUUUAUGCCACUAUAUCAAACUAGUAAAAUAAAUAUUGUUUUAAUGUUUUAGUUACAUUUUUUACACAAAAUAUUAUAUUGAUAAUGUGACACUCAUGGCUUGAGGUAAUGAUAAUUUUCAAUUUUUUUUCUAAUUAAUUGUUAGACUAUGAGGUUAAUGUUGGAUUAUUCAGUUGGGCCUUUAGUGAGUGGCUCGUUAUAUAUUUGGGCUAUCUGAAGACGUAUGUUGGGCGUAAGCUUGACGUACGCGGGGCGUAGUGGCAGCAUUAGAUGCGGGGGCUGAUACCCUAAUUUUUAGGGUUUAAUCCAUAUAAAUGUUGGGUUUUGAGCAUUCUAACACUCCUAAGUGUACAUGCAACCCUAAAUACCUUGGAUCUAUGUUUUCUCUAUUAUACAUGCAAAUAUGAAUAUUCCAACAUAUUACCCUAACUAGCAUAUAAUAUUUGUUUACUUGGGUAAUAUAAUAGAUAAAAUACAUACCUUGUUGAUGUAGCUUGACUCCAUGAAGCUCGAGAGCCUAUGACACCUCAAAUGGUUCACACAACAUCAUCAACACUUGGAAUAACCAUGAAAAGAAUAAACUUCAUGCUCAAAUCGGCUAGCCCUCAUAUAUGUAUCACUAGUGCCGAUUUCUAGAGCUAAAGGGGUCUUUAUAUAGUGUGGCUAUUAGGGUUACACCAUCUAGCUCAUGACUUUACCCAUUCCUUAUGCUCCAUGGGUUUUAACCUCCAUGGAGUAUCCAUGGGUCACCACAUGGGUUAAACCCAACAUAAGGAAUCUUGGAUCAUAAUCCCACAUAUAUAAGAAUGAAUGAUUUACACAAUCAAUCCCUAUAUAUUUAAAUAGUUUCUUUUGAUCAUUAAAUUAAGUCCAAAUUAAUUCUUGAUCAAUACAAAUUAAAAAACAUGAUUUUGUAUUAAUAUAUUAGAACUUAUAAUAUAUUAAUAUGUCACAAAUGUCCUCUUCUCACAAACGGUCUAUCUAAAUGUUUCGAUGCCAUGCAACCCAAAUGGACCAUGCCGAGUCGAGUCAAGUACAUAACAAUUAUAGUUAUUGACUUAGACACUAAUCUAACAAUCUCCCACUUGGACAAGUCUAAAACUAUUAUUGUGUAUGACUUCAAAAACCAACUGGCAAUCAUAGCUCUCAAAAGCCGUUGUCGAACUCUGACCUUGUCGAUGAACUUUGACCUUUGUCAAUGACUUGUCCAUUAGAUAAGGGAUCAUAUAUUCCUCCAUUCUAGAUAUCAUAUGGACUGAGACAUGGAUUAUAAAUCAUUCUCUCUAUCCAUUUGUUGUUUCCUGAUUUUCGAUUUAUGACGACUGACUGAUUAAACAGAUCAAAUCAGUCCUGGCUUGGCCAAGCAC